rnacentral:lncRNA from 1 species
UACAUUAAAAGUAUUGUAUUGUAGAAAAAUAUUAGUAGGGAUAUUUUUUUCCCUAAUUUUUAGUCCGUUGAAUGAUUCAACAGGAUGUAGAUGGCCUUGUACUGUUUGGGACACAGACAUCAAUGACAUUGAUACGAGCUGAUGAGUACAUCCUCUCUCUCUCUCUCUCUCUCUCCUUGGUCUACAGCUGUGUCAGAAAUAAUUGCAAACCUUUCACCACCUUCUCUUCCUCCUUUCCAUCUUCAUAUAUAAACCCCCUCCCUGUCCAUCAACACUAUCAUACAACAAAAUAAAAUAAAAAAAAAAAAAACAAAGCAAAACUAAAGUUAUGUCUCUCCUCUUUGAGGCGGCAUCAUCAUCCUCAUCGUCGUCGUCGCCGAGGGACUGCUCCAAGAGAGGGCUCUCCCACCAGCUGAGGUCGCGGCUGAUCUCCAGGAAGCUCCUCCUCCUCCUGUCCACCCCGCUGCUCUCCCUCCUCUUCCUCCUCCUCCUCCUCUGGCUCAUCCUCCGCCCCUCCGCCCCCGAGUUCUCCCUCAGAGACGCCGCCCUCCUCCUCCCCCCGCCGCCGCCUCCUUCUUCGCCCUCCGCCGAUCCUCUCCCCGCCGCCGCCNNNNNNNNNNNNNNNNNNNNNNNNNNNNNNNNNNNNNNNNNNNNNNNNNNNNNNNNNNNNNNNNNNNNNNNNNNNNNNNNNNNNNNNNNNNNNNNNNNNNNNNNNNNNNNNNNNNNNNNNNNNNNNNNNNNNNNNNNNNNNNNNNNNNNNNNNNNNNNNNNNNNNNNNNNNNNNNNNNNNNNNNNNNNNNNNNNNNNNNNNNNNNNNNNNNNNNNNNNNNNNNNNNNNNNNNNNNNNNNNNNNNNNNNNNNNNNNNNNNNNNNNNNNNNNNNNNNNNNNNNNNNNNNNNNNNNNNNNNNNNNNNNNNNNNNNNNNNNNNNNNNNNNNNNNNNNNNNNNNNNNNNNNNNNNNNNNNNNNNNNNNNNNNNNNNNNNNNNNNNNNNNNNNNNNNNNNNNNNNNNNNNNNNNNNNNNNNNNNNNNNNNNNNNNNNNNNNNNNNNNNNNNNNNNNNNNNNNNNNNNNNNNNNNNNNNNNNNNNNNNNNNNNNNNNNNNNNNNNNNNNNNNNNNNNNNNNNNNNNNNNNNNNNNNNNNNNNNNNNNNNNNNNNNNNNNNNNNNNNNNNNNNNNNNNNNNNNNNNNNNNNNNNNNNNNNNNNNNNNNNNNNNNNNNNNNNNNNNNNNNNNNNNNNNNNNNNNNNNNNNNNNNNNNNNNNNNNNNNNNNNNNNNNNNNNNNNNNNNNNNNNNNNNNNNNNNNNNNNNNNNNNNNNNNNNNNNNNNNNNNNNNNNNNNNNNNNNNNNNNNNNNNNNNNNNNNNNNNNNNNNNNNNNNNNNNNNNNNNNNNNNNNNNNNNNNNNNNNNNNNNNNNNNNNNNNNNNNNNNNNNNNNNNNNNNNNNNNNNNNNNNNNNNNNNNNNNNNNNNNNNNNNNNNNNNNNNNNNNNNNNNNNNNNNNNNNNNNNNNNNNNNNNNNNNNNNNNNNNNNNNNNNNNNNNNNNNNNNNNNNNNNNNNNNNNNNNNNNNNNNNNNNNNNNNNNNNNNNNNNNNNNNNNNNNNNNNNNNNNNNNNNNNNNNNNNNNNNNNNNNNNNNNNNNNNNNNNNNNNNNNNNNNNNNNNNNNNNNNNNNNNNNNNNNNNNNNNNNNNNNNNNNNNNNNNNNNNNNNNNNNNNNNNNNNNNNNNNNNNNNNNNNNNNNNNNNNNNNNNNNNNNNNNNNNNNNNNNNNNNNNNNNNNNNCUCGCUCUCUCUCUCUCUCUCUCUCUCUCUCUCUCUCUCUCUCUCUCUCUCUCUCUCUCUCUCUCUCUCUCUCUCUCUCUCUAUGUACAGAGAGAGAGAGAGUAUAUUUUUUUUGUCUUUCUCUCUCUCUUUAUAUAGCGUUGAGCUAAAAUACUAUCAAUAACAAAUAUAUUAUAUUGCUACUCAUUCAUUUUGGAUGAUGGAGUUCCUAAAUUGAUGAUCGGCACCGUUGAACAUGAUGUAUACUACUCGAAAUAUCUACAAACUAAAUUUUAAAUCUUUUCGACAUCAUUAGCUUAAUGAUCAAAGCGUUUCAAAAUUUAUAAUUAUAAUGGUCGACAUAAGGCGCUUUUUAAUUUAAUGAUGUAUAAAUAUCCAAAUCAAUUGAAUUUUGGUUUGAAAAUUCUUUAAACUAUUUAGAAUAAGAUCUAUAUUCUUGAUCUUGAUUGCAAGAUUUUUAUCAUCGCUUUUUAAAGAAUAUUCAUUCUCAGCUAUUCAUUUUUGUAUUCACUUAAUGGACGAGAAAACAAUAUCGAAAAAGCAUAAAAUUUGAUUUCUAGAUACUUGAAGUGGUAUAAAUUAUGUUCAAUGUUGCCGAUCGUGGAUUUGAAGGUUCCAUCAUCGAAAACAAAUAGGUGACAAUAAAAUCUGUUUUCCACUUAUAGCAUUUCAGCUCAACUCUGUGUUUAUAUAUAUAUAUAUAUAUAUAUAGAGUGAGGCUACUAUGCUAUCGAAAGCACGGAACCUUCCGUGCUUCCAGCUCAUUUUCGAUAUUGCGACUUUCGAAUCGUCGAUUGACUCCGCUAAACUUGAUUUAGAGUAUUUGAAGUACCUAGAAAAUAAAUUUUAUGAUUUUACGAUAUCAUUUGCCUAGUGAACGAAGGGGCUCAAAAUCAACGGCUGAAAAUAAAAAUUUUACAAAAUAUAAUAAUAUGACAUUAAAAUUUUAAAUCAAAGAUAUUGAUCUUGUUUUAUAUAGUAUAAAGAAUUUUCUAUCAAAAUUUCACGUGAUUUGGAUAUUUCUACACCGUUAAAUUUGCAAACGGCUCACUACGGCCGUUGAAAUUUGUUGAUUUUGAGCCCAUUCGAUCACUAGGCAAAUGCUAUCGAAAAAUAAUAAAAUUUAUUUUUUAGGUACUCCAAAUACUCUAGAUCAAGUUUAACGGAGCCGAUCGACGAUUCGAAAAUCGCAAAAUCGAAAAUGAGCUGGAAGCACGAAAGGCUCCGUGCUUUCGAUAGUACAGUAGCCUCACUCUAUAUAUUUCGGUUAGUUGUGCGUAGAUCGAGGAACUGAGAACCGAAUUUAGUAUACAACACUGGUAAGCUCGAUACGAGUUUCAGGGCCUUGUGGGACAUGUUUAUGCUUCCAAAAUCACGAACAAAAUUUGAUUUUCUAAUUAUACAAAUUUUAAUUGUAAAUAUUUUUUAAUCCCUAACGAAUUAGGAUCUCACCUUAUAGCCAAUUUUGAUGUACUAUAUUAUAUGCGUAAAGUACUGAUAAUUUUUGGUCAGAGCAUGCCAUUACAUAUGAAUAUAUUUCCAAAUUUAGAAAUGAAAAAAUCCAAGCAGCAUCUCUUGCUAAAUUUCUUCAAUUCAUUAGAAGCCCAAUUAGAUGAAUGAAAGGAGAAUCAGUCCCAAAUUUCUUUCAGAAUGAAAAAUGCGCAUGCUCGUGCAUGCACGGAUGCUAGUUAGAAAUGCGAAACAACAACAGAAACCCAAUUUAAUAGGAACAAAACUUCGUCGACAAGCUCCUAAAUGUUUUUAAAAUUUGUACUUAAAUCAUAACAUAACAUUUCACAUGCAGCUGGCGUCCAUGCUGGUGUGGGAAGCUCCUCGCUGAAGUUUUGUUCUAAGUCUGGACCGAAUUCGUCGCUCCAGUAAGAAGAUUAAGAACCUGGAGGUGGAGUAGCUGCACUAGUAGUAGUAUUAGUAGGGGAAUGCCCAACAUACACUUCCUGUCCCCUGCCGUAUCCGCCGUCCUCUGCCGCGCCUGGCGGCCACACCGGCGGCCAUCCCUGCGCCGUCCCGGGCGCCCCUGCAGCCGGCCGGUGGGCGUAAGCCGUCGGGUCGAUCCCCGGCACGGCCGGCUGCCCGAUCAUCAUCCCCUGCGGCGGUGGAUAGUAGUACGGCACCCCUGGUGCUGCUGCUGCUGCCAGUCCGGCGCCGACGAAUCCGACCGGAGAUAGCGCGUGGGAUGCUGCUGCUGCUGCGGCGGCGGCGGCGUCGGCGUCGUCUUUCGGGGGGGGAUCGUCAGGGCCGGGGCGGGGGACGAUGUCGACGAGGAAGUCGAAGACGUCGGUGCGGGUGAUGGCGGCAGCGAUGUCGUUGCGCUGGAGGGUGCGGCGCUUGUUCUCCUCGGCGUGGAGCCAGGAGCGGAUGGUGAGCUCGAGGAUGAAGAGCUCGCAGGCCUUGGCGAACAGCACCGGCGCCUCCGCCGAGAUCAUGCGCACGUCCUCGUCCGCCUUCAUGAUCUUCUUUAUCCGCGCCAGCGGCAGCUGGUGGUUCUUGAAGUCCGACGCCGCCAGCGCCGACGACAUCAUCUCCUGCCGCUGGUAGCUCCAGAACAUCUGCAACUGCUGCUGCUGCUGCCCCUGCACCUGCACAUGCAUGUUCAGCUGCUGCCGCCGAUUGCGGCGGAUACGGCGGCGGCGGCGGCGGCCCUUGAUUCUCCAUUCUGUGUCGUCUGUCUCUCUGCAGAUAAUUUCAUGAAAAAUUUGUUCCAUAUACAUAUAUAAAGAAUCCGGAAACUACGCAAGACAUUCUGAAUCACGUACCACGUUUCUGAUCUGAAAGAUUCUGAACUACACACGCAGUUUAAGAUGCAGUGCAAGAUGUACGCGGCGGCAAGCAAAAUCAUACUAAUUAAUUAAAAGCCUCAACGUUCUUGUAAUUUUUUAGCCUAACCUUAAAAUUCGUUCAGCAAUAAUAAAAAAAACUUAAUAGAACACACUAUUAAUAAUAGUGUACAUAUUUUGAGAUGAUCCACGACUAAAAAGUUGCAAGUAUAAAUAUUCCUGUACUUUUAAAAACCGACUCCUAAUUUCAUAUAUAUAUAUAUAUAUAUAUAUAGAGAGAGCUAGGCUGGUAUAUAUAUAUAUAUAUAUAUAUAGAGAGAGAGAGAGAGAGAGAGAGAGAGUUGAGUUAGAAGACUCUCAAAAGCACAAAAAGAAUGGUACUUUUGAGUUUUUAGUCAUUGGAUGGAAAGAUGUAAGGUUGAAAUGAUGGUGGUAUGUAAUGGUAGGUAGAAUAAUGUUUAAUCCAAAGGCUAUUAAUAAUCAAGGAGUAGAUCCAAGGGCUAGAAACUUAGAAGCACUAAGGAGUUGGUGCUUUUAAAAGUAUUCUAACUCAAUUAUAUGUGUGUGUGUGUGUGUGUGUGUGUGUGAAAUCUGAAUUUUCUUGUAUAUUUGAAAUGCAUAUUUAUUAGAGAAUUCAGAUUGGUUUAUUUACACACACUUGUGAUGUUAUACUAAAUUAUCUUCAUAGAUCUAAAAAAUUUGCAUUUUUCCAUCUAUGUGUCGUUAUCUUUCCAAAUAAAAAUCUUACAUUGCCAAAAAAAAUGUAUUAUCUGAAUUAUUUUGGUCGAAAUUUUUCUAUUCAUCUCCUCUAUCUUAUACUCACACUAAACCCUUUUUUAAUGCUCGAUUAAAAACUUUAUUUUAAAGGAAUAUACCGGAUAUAGCAAAAUUAAUUUGACAGAAACAAUGAGGUGGCUCAUUUGCAAUGGAAAUAAAAAAAAAUAAUAAUAACAUCAAUCUUUUACAAACUAUAAUAAUGUACACAAUGCACUGCAUAAUUUUAGUGGGAUAAAAUGCAUAAAUUUCAAAAAUUUCAGAUACUUGUAAACAAAGAAAGGUUAAGACAAUCUCCUACCUUCUUAACCACCAGAGUUUUGGGUGAAAGAUGGGCUUCUAAUUCUGAGGAAUUUCCUUUAGCUUUUUUCAGUCAGAAGAGUACAUGAUUCUCCUCAAAUAUAAGAUGGAAAUGGAAUUAAAAAAAUGAGUCUCUCUUUAUCUUACAAAAAACAACUUGGAAAAAAAAGGAUGGUUAUUCUCUCUCAUUUUCAGGGGCUCAAAACCCAGGAGAGAGAGAGAGAGAGAGAGAGAGAGAGAGAGAGAGAGAGAGAGGUGAGACAAUGGGAGAAGUGAGCAGUAGAAAUAAGGAGAGAAGGGGACAUGGCAGUAGGGAUAGCAGAGCAGUGGAGUAAAUAAGAAGCAGUGUAAUGUGUCCUUUUCUUUAUUUGGAGAUAUCCUUUUUGCACAGCUACUUUGAGGAAUCUCCUAUUAAUUAUGAUUGCUGGAGAAAGCCUCUCUCAUUGGAGUCAAUUUGCACAUUUAUUAGAGGGUAAAUUGCUCAAACUAUUCGGAUGGGUGAUAACUUUGGCCCUCACAACUUUGAUCUGAUGUAAUUUGGGACUCCAACUUUCAGAAUUGUAGUAAUUAAGUCACACAAUAUAAUUUAGUUGAUUAAAUACUGAUGCGUUGCUGACGUACAAGUAAUCACGAUACUAUUACAUGCAUAAUAUUUAAUCAAGUAAAUUAAAUUAUAAAAUUUGAUUAUAAUAAUUUUGAGAGUUUGAAGUAAAAAUUAUAAUAAAUUAAAGUUUGAAGGCGUAAGUGUCGCAGGCUUCAUAGUUUGAGGACCAAAUGUGCUAUUUACUCUUCAUAGGAAGCAAAGUUAUAUUUAUUAUAUUUUGAAGCAAGAGGUGAGAGAUUUGUUUCUGCAAGAUCUCAGCAAAUUGAUUAAUUACUUCAGUAGAUUACUUUUACAAAAAAAAAAAAGAAGUAGAAAUUAAAAGAGUUUAAUAGGUUUCCAUAUGAUUUGAAAACCGUAUUACUAAAUACUGUUUUUCAAAGGUUAAAAUGAUUUAAUGGAGUAGGCAGAAAAUUUUUUAAAAAUAAACAAUUAGUUAUAUUUUGAAUCAAAAGAGUCAUCAAAUAAAUUAAAUUAAAUAAACUAAAAAGUUUGACACUACAAUUAAAAUUUUGAUAAGAUUGAAUAGUCGAAUCAAAAUGACCAACAGUUCAGAUAAGUCCUAUUCAUCUUCACCUAAAUAAAUCAAUUAUGAAAUGCUAAUAAAGAAUAAUAGAAAAUUUAUUUUAUCUCUAUCUUUUAAAUACUAUCCUUAGGGCAGUUGAUAGGUAUCUUAUUUUUUUGUACAAUGUGAUUCAAAAUCGAAUUUCGCAAGGAACAGAAAGUGUGUGUAUGUAAGUGCGGCUUGCAGAGAUCUAGAAAAAAAAAAAAACUUAUGCUAGAUGAUAAUAAUCAAUAAAAAUUUGGGAUAAUUUAUUAUGAUUAGAGUUGCACCCAGUUGAAGAUGCAAAUUGUCAUGUUUGCAUCAAACUCAUUGAAUGUAGGUGAAAGCUACAUAUGUUGAUUUUAUUACCUCAUAUGUGGUAUGGUGAAAUCACCACAAUUUUUUUUUUCUUUUUUUUAAUCUUUUAUUUAAAAUGUCAAUUAUGGUAAGUAGAAUCCUUCUAACUGCUGCAAUUUCAAAUACGUUGGAUUUGGCUGUGGUUUAAAAUAUAACUCAAUUGUGGGUCCAACUAUAAUAUAUAGAUGUAACAAUAACAAACCAAACAAAAAUUUUUAAAUUUACCUAUAGUUGUACUUGCUAUGUAGCUUGAAAUGCGAGCCUUACCCACUUGAAAUUUUUUAAUUUUUCAUAUGAUCAUUGAUAAUAAAUCAACUGAUCCGGCUUGAAAUUAUGGUUUUCUUUUUGUUUUUAUUUUUGUUUUUGUUUUCGUUUUUUAAACAACCCCAUAAGCCCCACGGCCCCCAACCCAAGAAACCCACAUGCUGGAGUUGAACAACCGACCUCUUAGUUCGCGACAGGGAUACCAUCCAGCUGCUCUAGGCGGUGGUGGUCAUGGACGCAAUUUGUAUGGCAAGAAACAAAAGAAUAAGUUACUAUAAUUGGAUGGAUAGAUGGGUUAAUUUGUGACGAGAUAUAUAGAUAUUUACUAGACAUUAUGCAAAUUCAUCAACAUGAAAAGGAAGUUGAGACAAAUAAACCAACAAGAAAGGCACAAUAUUAAAAACUUUUUGAUGUGCUUCAAGCUUUAACAGAACAAUAAUGUAGUUCAACAUAUAGAGAGAGAGUAUUCCAUUAUCUUUAAAGAAAGAUACAACAGUCAAGUGAAUGCACACACAAGACACAGACACAUACAGGUUAUAAUAGCCAUACCUUAAACAAGUAAUAAUGUAAGACCAGCGGAAACAAUGAGGUUCUACCAUUUAUUUCCUACUCUCCCAGAAAUAACGUUCCCAAGAACCUCCGUGAUCUAGGCAAUCUCCAUUUGAGACACAAAUUCAAGGUUAAAGAUUCCUAAAGUAAUUGUCAGGUAUAUGUGAAAGAGCCGCUUACCUGGCAUCCUAUUCCAAGUCAUCAGCCAAAAAUCGACUAAACAAGUCGAACCAAGAAGCUUGAUAGAUAUUGAAUGUCGGGAUACAUCCACUGUAUUUGAGAAUUAACCCUUUUUCGAUUAUAGCAUCUACAACAGCAACGACAACAACAGAAACAAACUGCUCGAUUUUUCAGCUGUUUUCCAUCACGGUAUCCUCCUUUACCUCCGUAAUCACCUUGAGAAAUUCUACAGGAGUGGCAGCUGGGUCCAAUUCGUGACAGCCCUUUGGUGCAUUAUAGCCUUCCUCACCAGUCAGCAAAUGAGAAGGCACUUGGUGCGAAAACCGAAACAUUUCUUCCUUUGGUAUCCUCCUCACCUCUUUUGGGUCCAUAUGGCUGCAAAACACCGUUUUAAAACCAGCAACUUUGACCAUCGGGGUGAUAGUAACACCUUCUUCCUCAUUAUAAUCACUAAGCACUUCGACCAUUUCAUAUUUGUGUAUCACAACAUCGGGUGUUAACUCGUUCCAAUCUGAAGACCAAUUUCGGUAUAGUGCCCAUAUAUCACCUUUUUUAGGAAGAAUUUUAAUAAUUCCACGUGGGCCCUUCUCAAAGCUAACUCUAUGAGAGAAUAUGUUAACCGUGUCAAUGAUUUUAUACCUGCCAACCCUAAAUUCCCCGCAAGUCUUGGUGAACCCAGAAGCAACCCAAUUUACUGGGCCAAAUUCAUUAUUGGACUUCGAAUUUAGAAAGCUCAUGCUCAACUUAAAAGGUUUCAAAGAGAUAACCUUUUGAACCAUGGCAUAGAGGCGAGGCAUACCAUCUUCGUUAUCGUACGCAGCCCAUAUUUGAUCAGAUCGAAAAGCUUUUUCAAUACGAUAUUUGUCAAAAUCGUGAAAAUCUGGAUCAGGGACAUUGAUUGGAACAGGUGCAACAGGAACUUGAUUGUUGUUUGACUCACUUACGUUGGUUUCAACUUGUUCUUUGUUACCAUGAUUAUUAUUAUUAUUAGCUUUCUGGUUUUCUUUCGGCUUUGAUCUCUCUUUCUCUACCAAUUGGGCAGGAGCAAUAGCCACAUUCCAUUCUUCUAAUUUCUUGGUAACGGCCGCUUUAGCUUUUUCUAUAAGCACUCUUCGAAUGUCAAUUUGGUCCAUGAAGAAAUUCUGCCUUUUAGUUGCUCUAACACCAUUAGCCCUUUCCAAAUCAGGAGCACUGGGCUUAUCAGCUCUCUCUCUCUCCUCUGCACCAUUGCUUGCAGCAGUGCAACUGUCAUGGUUUCUUCUUCUCCUUUUGUUCUUACUCCACAAUUCCUCUUGUUUUUUAGCAGCUCUCACUGCCUCGUGCUUCCUUGUUUUCUCAAAUGUGUGAUGAACCGCAUUGGAACUUUGAGAAGAAUAACUAGUUUUGUAGCUAUUGCUACUGGACCCAGAUGUCCACGAAAAAGAGGAACGUGCUCCAUUGCGUGGAACUUCAAUCUCUACGGCCCAGAAUGCAUUAUGACAAUUAGGGCACAAGAGAUUGUGAUUAAGGUACACUCUCAGGUACUCAUACUGCAUCCUGCAUCGGCUGCAUGAGGUCCAGAAAGUGUCAUGCUUUGACGGGCGAGAGGCAGAAGCAUUCUGAGCUCUUGAAUGAGCUGUUUUGUUAUUAGAAGUGUUAUAGCCAUUAGAAGCAUUAUGGAAACCAUUCAUUCGUCUCUUCUGAUCGUAUAUAGUUUUUUUGUUGUUAUCAGAUAACACGCUCCAUGCCUCCGAUAUAAGCUUAAAAGCACCUUCAGCACCGAUUGACUUAUUCUUGUCAGGGUGAAGCUGGAGAGCUAAUUUCUUAUACUGUUUCUUCACUGCAUCCUCAUCGGCUAAAGCAUUGAGAAAGAGAAUAGAAUACCAGUCAUUCUCGCCGUUGAUUUUCGCUUCUGCGGCUAGAUAAACAUCAAGGGUUGCUACCAUCUGAGUGAUGCCCUCAAGAUCAGGAAAGAGGUUUUGGGCCUUCAAAGCAAAUUUCCUCGCAGCCUUUAUAUCUCUCGAAUUGAAUUUUCUCUCAGCCAUUUCUUUUGCCCUAAGGGCCUCAUCCCUAUUGCAAUCCAUGAUAUAUCCUGGCUUCCUCAGAUUAAAGUGAAGUUCUCCUCUAAAACCAAUCAAUACCUAUAACUCCUUGUUCUACUCUCCUACUGAACGAAGUUGAAGACUCUACUGAUGACUCAGUGCAAGUGGGGCUAAAUUGUCUUAAAGCCUAAAUUGGGAAGCAACACAAAAACAGAAAACAGAUUCUCAGUAUAAGCAGGUAAUGAAGAUUGCAAUGUACACUAAAACAAGUAAGUGGAAAUUAAACUAAGUUUCUGUCAUUGUGGCAAUUCUCCUCUAAAACCAAUCAAUGUAUGCAACGACUCAAUCUAGUCUCCUACCAAUUGAAGUUGAAGAUUCUUCCGAUGAUUCACGCAGGUGGUGCUAAAUUGUCUUAAACCCUAAAUUUGGAAGCAACUCAAAAACAGGAACCAAAUUCUCAGUUUAAGUGGUUUUUAACGAAGUAUUGCAAUGUGAACUUAAUUGGACAUCAAAAUCAGCAACUGAGCUACUCGAACCUCAGAAUUAGCGGGAAUUAUAGAUUUUAAUGCCACAAACAAUUGGGAUAAAAGUAGACAUCUUCAACUUAAUAAUCAUUCUACAAGCAUAUCAUAGCUCAAAAAACUAUCUUUCCAAUUCAAAGUAAGUAUAAUUACCACUUCCUCAAGAACCAGAUGCGAAACCCUAACACAAGAGUACAGCAAAAUCUAACACAACCGAACCCAAAAAGAGCUCAAACAAGUGAAAAAACCAGCUGAUCCACAACAAAUUAGGGUUUUAAAGCUCAAAUUACGACAUACAACCCUAGUUUCACUGUUUUGGACUACCAGAAACCCUAGAAACCCCGAUCUCCGCCAUGGAACCACGGAAGAUGCUAAAAAAGGAUUCGAUGGAUAGAGAAUUCGAUGAUUAAGCGAAAGAGAGAUUACCCAAUUGGAAAAAAUCGAAGUAGAGUGAGGAAUUUGAAUCGCGACGCCUCCAUGAGAAACCCUCGAGAGCUAUUAUUUCCCCCCCAAAUUUCUUUGAAAAAGAAAUUGGGGAAAAAUGGAAUACUUUUUAGUCAAACUCCCUACACACCAAAAUAAAAUCCAUAUACACAUAUAAAUACAUGUGAAGGGAAAAAGAAAAAGUAUUUCUUUAAUAAUUUCUUACCUAACCUUUAUUAUUUUGUUAUUAAAGGAAACCCUAACUAGGGUUAAUUUCUAACCCAAGUAGAGAUUUGUUAUUUGGUAUAAUAAUUUACCAAAUUCUAUUAUCUGGAAAAAAAAAAAGCAUUUAUUGAAUACGUAUAAGUAAAAUUAUAGUAUUUGUAAGAUUUAAAAUGUUACCGUAAAAUUCACGCAGAUAAAAAUGAAUAAUAUAUAUGUCAUAUUAUUUUAGCUAAUGUAAAAUUUUUUAAUUGUAUAUAUUCAGUAUGAUUUAAUAAGUUUAAUAGCAUUUUAAUAAUGAUGCUAAUUUUGUUUAAUACUUAAUUUUCAACUCAAUAAUAAUAUUUUUUUUUCAACUAAAAGAUCUAGUCAUAUAUUUAUAUUUUUCUUAAAUUAUGCUGAAUAUUUUUUAUUAUAUGAAUUAAUAAAUGGCAGGAAAUGAGAAAAAAACAUAAAUUUAAAGCUAAUAAAUAAUUAAAUACCCAUGUGGGUCCCACAAAAGAAACUUUUAGGACCUUCUAACCCACAAGAGGUUGGGUUAAAAGGUAUAUAUGGAUUUUUAAAGGUAUAUAUGAGGUUAUCCAAUGUUGGUUAGAUUAACCAUGGUGGUAGGUUAGAAACUUUUAACUCUGGUUAUGGAUUAAAUUGCCCACAAAUGCCUAGUAUGAAAAUAUCUCCACCACCACCAAAAAGUUAUCUCAACCCUUAAUUUUGAGGGAUGCUUCAUGCAGAGCAUUUUGCAUGUGGGACCCACAUCUUUGAUUCUUUAUCUCUACACCAUUUAUUUAUUUAUUUAUUUAUUUCAUAAUUUUAGAGUAGUUUAACAAAAAAUUAGGUUACAAGUAGGUAUUUGUUGAAACAAAGUAUUGUUAGAGAGGAAACAUGCACACUGGUUACCUUUGGCAUAUCACUAUGCUUAAGUAUCAGAUUUUGCUACAUAAAUACACAGUUGCAUGAAGCUCUUAGAAACAAAGUGCUCAAUGCAUAGUGAAAUAGGAUAAUCUUACAAAAAUAGGAGAAAACAUUCAAAUGGCAACUUGCAAGCAUAUUCCACUUCUUUUGAUGCCAUUGUGCUCCUGCCACCAUAGUAAGUCCACAUUGAGAACAAAUUGUACCAGGAUAGUACUAUAGAACUUUUACUGGUGCAUUGCAACUUCUCUUUUUGUGUAUCAACACAGUAGACAACAAAUUGGACACAGAACUGGAGUAACAAAGCAUGUAAAUGGCCUCAGUGCGAAAGUCGCACUCUUCUUUGACCUGUUUGUGAUAUGCUCAGUAGACUGAUACUUUCAUUGAAGCAUUCUCAGUAGCAGGUUCUCCACCAAGAGUGUUCUGAGUAAUGGCAUUGUAGCUGGAUUUACUGCCAUAGUAUAGCUCAUUGAUUAUACCUUUGAGGUCACAUGAUGUGUUGUUAAAAACUGUCAAAGCAAACAGAAUAACAGUAUAUAAAUAACUAACACGCAUACUAAGCUUGGCAUCAGUUAAACUGAUUCAGGUGGAAGCAGAACCUUUAUUAGAAUAUAUGAUCAAUGCUAAUGUAGUGUAGGUACACAAGCUGCAAGAGGAAAAGAUGAAAUGGCAUCAUUUAAGAAGAAUAAAUAGCUGAUCGAUUCGGAAUAAAUGGCAUCAUCUUUAUGUCUUACUUUCUGUAUUCAUCGAGAGAGCCCCUCCAUAGGCGCAAACAAUGCUAUGCAGGGGAGAGAGCAUGUAAUAGCGGUAUGAGAAUCCUAUAUUUAAUGGCACUUUAGUCUUGUUCCUACAAAACAAGAUUUGACGCAGAACAACGUUAAACUUACAAAGAGUCCUGAAGUUUUUAAGGACUGUUAUGAAUAACUCAUCCCUCAAAAUAGAAAAGAAGAAUGAAUCUCAUUGCGGAAGUUUAUAGAAUUGUAUCACUUCCUGACUUGUUUCUGCUCUCCGUAGUCAUCUAUAUUUGCACAGAAAGAGAAGCAGAGAUUUCGAAGAACCAGAAGUAUUGCCCUACUGUCAGAAAAUUGUACAUGAAUCUUUAGAUUUCUUAUAUCAACAUUUUGAGCUCAAAGUAGCUAGUUUUUAACAUAAGUCCAAGACGUACCAAAGAAAAAACUCGAACGACCAUUACAUUGUGAGUCACAGCCACAGAUGGAUGAUAUGCAGAUGUAAUUAUCAUGUUAUUUGCUAAGAUAUCCUGUCCACUUAAAUUGCAAUAAUGAUAUUUGAAUGAUUUUUACCUUCCUCCUAAAUAACUUGUGUCAUCUCUGUAUAUUACGGCAAUUGGAUGACGGCAUGCUGACACACAGAUUCUCCUUUUUUUCUCUUCUCUUCUUUUGUUGCUCAAUUAGGAAAAACUCUUCAAUGGAAGAUGUGAGCAUUAGAACGAAAAGUAAAAGGAAGAAGAAUAAUACUUUUGCGAUGAAUACAAAUAACAACAUAUAAAGCUCAAUUUCGUAAGGUCUUCUACAAACACAAGCAUGAUUAUCAUCAACAAGCAACCAAAUGCAAGCAAGCACUAUAGAUGAAAAUGCUAGAUUCUUCUUGGUUCUUCUCAUCCUGAAGAUGUUACGAAUCAUCAUAAUUAAUAUUUCAUUCUUUAAUUUAGUUCGACAGUAUGAGUACCUAAUCAAAGUAGUAACAAGUUUAUACAGUCAUGAAUACCAAAUCAAAACAGUAAAAGGUCCAUACAGUGAUCUCAAUAUAGGUAGAACUAAAGUUGCAAACAAAGCAGGCAUAUGCAGCAAAGCCAAGACCAAGAUCAGUAUAAAGUAUGGAGUUACCGCACUAAACAUAUUAAAUCAAAUAUUAAAAGAUCAUCUCUUCUUGAAGCCAUAUUUCUUCCUCUCGUAGAAGAGGUCGGUCUUCGCGCUCCCCAGGUUGACAAUCUUAGGGCACCCGUCCCGAUCCUUCUCCUGCUGCGUGCACUCUUUGCAGUAGUAGGCGUCAGAGAUCCCAACCCCACCACAAAUUACACAACGGCCCUGGAAAGAGCCGUAAUUACACUCGUCACAUACGCGUACGAGCGUGCAAGGCCGCACAUAAGAAUCGCAGAUCACGCAUUUUCCAUCGCACUUCUCGCACAGGCGGCCAAUGGCGAUGCCAGGCUGCUUUCGGCACAUGAUGAGGUCUGGGUGGUGCUUUGCCAUGAUCUUUUGAUGCUAAUUAGUGCCUAAUUUCCUGCAAAAAGUACAGCUUUCAGUGAUUAGCUAAAUUAUUUAUGGUCUCAUUGUUUUUUUCCUUUUUGAAAACAAAAAAGGGGUAAAUGUAUUGUAUUGAUAUUAUAUGUACUGUACUGAUAUGUUCUCAUGAUUUUUUUCCUUUUUGAAAAAAAAAGGGGUAAAUGUAUGGACAUUAUAUGUACUGUACUGAUAUUUUGACUUUGUCCCUCAACUUUCGACUAAGGCACUUUAGUUCCUGAACUUCCCCAUAUGUUCAGUUACAUCCUUGUGCUAAAGGAAUUUGGCGAUGUGUAAUUGACUUCUCUAUAAAAGGCCUUGUAAACCUAGUUUUCAAGUACAUUUAAACAAGAAAGUCACUUUAUAGAAGAGUAAAACAGUCACUCUCUUUUGUUGUGGGUGGCUUGCAAAUAUGAGAAAGUUCAGGGACUACAGUUUCAGAUGAAAAGUUUACGGACUAUUACCCCCUGCCCCCCCCCCCCCCCCCCAAAAAAAAGAAGCAUUCAUAGUAAGCUGGGCAUAAUAGGAGAUUUAGGCCGCGAUGAUUUGGCUGAAGCUUCCAUAGAGUGUUAUUGUAACAGAGCUAUUCAAAGAAGUGCUAAUAGCUUCUUUAUUUAGGUCCCUUCAACAGCUUCCAUCUGUGAAGAAUUAAAUGUUCCAAUUAGAUUAUUCGCUUUUGGGGCCUAGAAGCUCCUUUUGACUCCUCACCAUAGCAAAAGAUUUAGAUAUUUCGUUUGCCAAAUACAUGGCUAUUGCUUCCCAAGUACAGAAUCUACUCCAGAAGAUAUACAAAAUAAAGCUUUACUGUAACAAGGAUAUUGUCAUAACAAAAUUCUAAAGGUGAUAAUCAAGAAAACUUUGACAGAAUUUCACGUGUCAGAUCUACUAAUAGCUAGUUUGUUUAUCGAUGCAGCUUUCAUUGGUAAAGAAGAAACUGAACAAAACAGAAAAGCUCAAACGAACAGCGUCAGCAAGCAGUUAAAGUAAUGCAUGGCAUCCAGUUCAUUGCGCAGCAUCCUGUAGUAAUACUGCCAAUAAAGAAACACAUAAUGGAAAUCAAAAACCAUUUUUUUUAGCUUUCUAACUUGCAUUUGGAAUUUGAAUAUUACUUGGUUCGUCAGAUGUGUCGAGCAAGUGGACUCCUCCUUACAUUCUGGUAUUGUAGUAGAUAGCAGUGUUAGUAUACCUAAUAUAAGUGGGCAGAAGAGAAUUUACUUGUGCUCCGAAGAUUUCAGCAUGUCUUAUUAAGUCAAAUCCAAACCCUUUGUUAGUACAAUCUCUUUUCUGGCCCUUCAUAAACUUAUCUUAACACACUUCUGAUUACUAAUUCCAAGCUGAUAACCCUCUAACAUUUCAACCAAAUAAUUCUAUAAAUCCCUCACCCUAUUCAACAAAUCUUCUCUAAGAGAUGGCUAAAACUCUAUCAUCAAUUUGCAUCUUAGUUUAUUCUUUACUAGAUAAUAUGUAACAUACAUGGUAGUAGGUGCUGCCAUAAAUUUGGGCAGGCACUAUAAACCUUAAGCACGUAACAUUAAACAAGUCAAGCAAUUAAAAAAUAUUGCAAUGGAAAUUGAUACUGCCAAAGCUAUUUCUGAUAUUGUCAGAGAAAAAAAAAAAAAGCUCAAAUCACGACUAGCUACAAUGUAUCUGCUCCCUUAAUAUCAAAAUUAGUUUUACCAAAAUCGAUUCCCUAUUGCAAUAUCAUCCUAUAACUGUGGUUUUAGUAAGAAAGAAUCAAGCUUCGAAAUAUCGCUUAAGCUGCCAGAGCUAAAGUGUUUGCGAUUUCGAGAGUUUCAGCAGUUUCUACUCUUCAACAUCAAAUACUUGGCAAUCAGAAUAUCAUAACAAAGUUUAAUUUCAUGACACAAACUUAAUUGAUGAAAAAAAAAAACUCUUUUGCUCUAAAUUGCAAUUUGACAUCUUCGAAAAUAGCAAAAUCUCGUCCUUCUCGUCCACACAAAAAACCGAAACUACCAAGAAAUAAUUGGACUUAAACUUUGAAAAAUUAGAAAUUGGGUUUUUCACUUCCGAAAAUCCAAUUUACCAGGGGUAAAUCCGUGUAAUAGACCUUAAAUCCUAGCAAUAAAACCUAAAACAAUCUAAUUUAACAACAGAUACAGAUUCAACAAUUGUUCUUGCAUUGUUCUUACCCCUCUUCUGCAAAAAUUCUAAAUCUUACAAAUUACACCACAAAACAAAAAACAAAAAUCCAUGGGAUCUAUAAAAAGAAAAUAACACUUAGUCAAAAUAAUCUAUAAUGGGCGAGGAGUUACUCUCAAAACUCUCUGUGCAAACCCUAACUUGGUUCUAACAUUAACUAUUUAAAUCCAAAAAAAUUUUACCUUGUGAUUACCCGAGAAUACGAGCGUAUAUCCACUCCCUAUUCCAAAGUUCUCAUUUGUUAUUAUCGACUCACUUUGCCUUGUUCCGAGAGCACCAACAAAUUGUGUUAUUUACAACGAAGUCCCUCGAAAUUAUUUACUGAAGUUACAGUUUUGUCCCCAGUGUUAGGGAUGCAAAUGGAUCCGGGUUGGUGGAGCUCCGCCCCGAUCCGCCCCGAAUGGGGUGGUAAGUGAGAACAAAAAAUAUAGAAAAAUAUAACCCGCCCGAAUCCGCCCCGAUCCGCCAAGUAAAUGGAGCGGGAGGCGGGAGACUCUUUCUUCCUUCAAUCUACCCCGAUUCGUUAAAAAUCCGCUUCCGCCCCGCUCCCGCCCCGAUCCGCCCCGAAUGGAGCGGUAAGUGGGAGCCAAAAAUAAAAUGAAAAAUAACCCGCCCCGAAUCCGCCCCGCCCAGAUAAGAAAUGGAGCGGGAGGUGGGGGAACUCUCCCGCCCCCGGAUCCGCCCCGUUUGCAUCCCUACCCAGUGUUUACUAAAACUUUACGAGGAACCCCCUCGACUGCAGGCAAUUUCCAAAUAACACAUUUAUAGCCUCGUUUUGUUUCCUAUUUAUUUAUUUUUAUUUUUUUAAAAUAAAAUUUUUUACAUAGAAUGGCACUCGAGUGUAGACCUGGCAAACAGGCGGAUUGGGUAACUCGCGGGCGGGUUAUUGUACCCACGGAUUACUUGGGCACGGGUAAAAUUUACCCACAAAUUUUUAGGUAGCCAACAUCAUUAUCCAUACCUACCAACGGGUGGGCAGGUGGGUAUGCGGGUUAUCCGUAAUUUUUUUUCUUUUUUUCUCUUAUAUUUUUUAAAUGCAAAAUACAUAUAUAUAAGUUUUAAAAAUAUAGCAUAACUCAUUAUUUAAAAUAUCAUAACAUUCAAUAAAAAUAUUUAAAGUCUUAGAGCUUAAAAAUUUCGUAAUAUAAAAAACGUGAUAAAAAAUUAGAGAGAAUUUGUAGCAUGAAUAAAUAAAAAAAUAUAUAUUUUAAAUAAGAAAAUAUAUUUUGUAAUUAAAAAAUAGGGAAAACUUUAAAAAACCCCCCCUGUGAUUUCAUAGUUUCUCACUUUGCCUCCCUGUUGUUUAAAAUGUAUCAAAUUGCCCCCUUGUGGUUUCAUUUUUAUCUUUUCGAUAGCUUUUUCGUUAAUAUUUCAUUAAAUUAUAUACAAAAAAAAACUUUAUAUACCUAUCUAGAUUUAUCAAAUAUUCACUUUAGUACCCUUUAAUUUUAACUUUAUCACUGAUUUAAGAAAAAAAAUAAUGAAAUUGAUAAGAAAAAAAGAAAAAAGAAACCAUGGGGGGCAAAGUGAAAAUCUACGAAACCACAGGGGGUUUUUUGAAGUUUUGCCUAAAAAAUAUAUGUACGGGUAUCCGUGGGUACCCGCGGGUUACCCAAAAUGCCCAUAGCUUAAUGGGUACCCACCCGUUUUAUCCGUAAUUUUUUGGGUUGAAAAUGUUGGUAUCCAUACCCGCAAAUUUGCGGGUAACCCGCGAGCACCUGCGGGUAUGGGUCGAGAUUGCCAGGUCUACUCGAGUGGACAGUAGAUUAUUCAUAAUCUUUGUAUCUAAAUUGUUUAUUUGGUAAUAAAAACUAAAAGCUUGAAAAUAAUUUUUUUUACUUUCAAAUUUUUUUUAAAUAAGUUGCCAUCUAAACGUGACCACAGUAAAUUAUAACCUAGAAGUCACGGACACGACACGGCUCGGACACCGCGAUUCAGCAACUUUCAAGAAAUUAGGAUACGGACACGCCAUGAAAAUUACUAAUAAAAUAUAAUAUUAUUAAUAUAAUAAUAUUUUUAUUAUGUAUAAAAUAUUAAUUUUGGUAAAAUAUUAUUAUAUUUUUUGUACGAAUGAAAGUUAAAUAAAAAUUUCAUUAAUAGUUUUAUAUAUUUUAAGAAAAAAAAAUUCUCCAUCAUACAUAAUUUAUUUAUAUUGUAAAAAAAAAUUAUAGCAUUCAUCAAAGCUAAAUAUUUUUCAUUUACAUUAUAUAUUAUAUAUAAAAAUAAUAUAUAUAUAUUAUAUAAUAUAUAUAUAAUAUAUCAUAUUAUAUAGAUAUAGUAGGUUGCUGUCUCUUAGAGCACGGAGCCGCUCCGUGCUCCUGAGCCGUUUUCGAUGGGACUCUCAAUCGACGAUCGGCUCCGUUAGACUUGAUCUAGGGUAUUUGAAAGUCUCUAGAAAUAAUUUUUGUGAUUUUUCGAUAUCAUUUACCCAGUGAUCGAAAGAUUCAAAUCAAUAAUUUUAAUGGUUGAUAUCGCCGUUUUCAAGUUUAACGUGAGAAGUAUUAAAUCAGAUAAAAUUUUGAUACAAAUUUCUUAUACUAUCUUACAACAAGAUCAAUAUUAUGAUCAAAAUUUAGUGCUAUAUCACCAUUUUUAUAGAAUUUUUAUUUCAUCUGCUUUAAAAUUAUUGAUUUUGAAUCCUUCAAUUGCUAGGUAAAUGAUAUCGGAAAAUCGCAAAAAUUAUUUUCUAGAACUUCAAAUACGCUAGAUCAAGUCUAACGGAGAGCGAUCGUCGAUUUGGGAGUCCAUCAUUCGAAAACGGCUCAGCACACGAGAGGCUCGUGCUCUUAAGAGCACAGCAGCCUGCUCUAUAUAUAAUAAUAGAAUUAGCUACUAUACUAUCUAAGUACCGGAGCUCCGGUACUAUAGUGUUUGUUUUCGAUUUAGGGCCGUUCAAAUCAACCGAUCCACACUGUUAAAUAUGAUCUGGGGUAUAUGAAUUUUAGGAAUAAAAUUUUAGUUUUUUUCGAUAAUCGUUUACUUAGUAAAUAAAUUAGAUCAAAAUGGACGGUUGGAAAUGAAUAAUCUUUAAAUAUUGAGCAUAGGAUUUUAAAUUCAAGAUCAAGAAUGUUAACCUUAAUCUAUAUAGUUUAAAGUAUUUUCUAUCAAAAUUUGAAGAAAUUCUUCUACACCGUUAAAACUCCAAACUGUUCAUAAUAACCAUUGAAAAUUGACAAUUUUAAAAUAGUUUGAUCAUAAAGUAAACUAUGUCGAAAAAAUAUAAAUUUUAUUUCUAGAAACUUAAAUACCCUAGAUCAAUUUAACGUUGUGGAUCAUUGAUUUGAACACCGUAAGAUCGAAAACUCAACACUAUAGUACCUGAGCUCGUACUAUAAUAGUAUAGUAGCCUAACUCUAUAUAUAUAUAUAUAUAUAUAAUAUAUAUAUAUAUAUAUAAGUAGGCUAAGAUACUUGUAAAAGUAUCAUGGGGUGGAUACUUGUGUGUUUUUUAGCCCUUCGAUGGAGAGAUGUGAGGUUGAAAUGAUGGUGAGGUGUGUAGUGGAAUAGUGUUAAUCCAAGGGCUAUAAUAUCAAAAAGUAAGAUCCAAUGGCUUAAAACCUAAUAGCACCAGAUGAUGAUACUGUAAAAGUAUCAUAGCUCAACUCUAUAUAUAAUAUAUAAUAUAUAUAUAUAUAUAUAUAUAUAUAUAUAUAUAUAUAUAUAUAGCCGUGCUACUAUACCUAUAUGAGUAUUGAGCCCUCGUACUUUAUAAGUUGUUUCAAUGAUAGAGCUUCCAACUCGACGAUCCACUCCGUUAAAUUAUUGAUCUAGAUAUUUGAAACUUCUAGAAAAUAAAUUUCGUAAAAAUUUCGAAAUCAUAAUAAAGUCCAUCAAGCGGGCAUAAAAGAACGGUCAAAAUCGAACGAUGUCUUAAAAAGAUGAUCAAUUCUUCAAUUCAAGAUUGGAGUUAUUGAUCUUUAUUUAGGUAGUGAUAAAAUUUUCUAUCAAAAUUUAACAAAUUCUGAUUUUUUUUAACACAGUUAAACUAGCAAGUAUUCAUACCGGCCAUUAAAAAUUGUCAAAUUUUGUAACCUUUGAUCGUAAGGUAAUGAUCGAAAAAUUAUAAAAUUAUAGUUUCUAAAAAGUUUUAAAUGCUGUAAAUAACUUUAACUAUGUUCGAUAUUCGGAAGCUCUAUUACGAAAACGAUUAUAUAGUACGAGAGGGAUCGUACUCAUAAUAGUAAUAUAGCCGGACCCUAAUAUAAUAUAGAGAAGAGAGAGAGAGAGAGAGAGAGAAGAGAGAAGAAGAGAAGAGAGAGAGAGUUGAGCCUAAGAAAUCUAAUCGAUAAGCAACGGCUCCGUUCCACUCAAUUGUUUUCAAUGAUGGAGCCUCCCAAAUCGACGAUUGCAUCAGUUGAAUAUGAUCUAUACCACUUGAAGUGUUUAGAAAUCAAAUUUCAUAUAUUUUCGAUAUUGUUCUCUUAUCCAUCGAGUGGACACAAAAAUGAACGGCUGAAAAUGAAUAUUCUUUAAAAAAUGAUGAUAGGAGUCUUGUAAUCAAGAUCAAGAGUAUAGAUCUUGUUUUAAAUAGUCUAAAGAAUUUUCUAACAAAAAUUCAAUUGAUUUGGAUAUCUUUACGCCGUUAAACGAGAAAACGCCUCAUAUCGACCAUUAAAAUUACAAAUUUUGAAACCCUUUGAUCAUUAGGCAAAUGAUGUCAAAAAAGAUUUGAAAUUUGAUUUCUAAACACUUCAAGUGGUAUAGAUCAUGUUCAACGGUGUCGAUCGUCGAUUUGGAGACUCUAUCAUCGAAAAUAAAUGGGUGGCAACGGAGCCCGUUUGCUAUCGAUAGUAUUCUAGCUCAACUCUAUAUAUAUAUUUUAAUUGUAUGCACAAUGGAUUGGCAUUAAAUUAGCAUCCAAGGAGUGUCCACAUCAGACACGUGUCCGACACGGAAACGCACGCGUCCGACACAGACACACGCGCGCCCGACACGGACACAUAAGGCUUACAUAAGUGUCCGUGAUGGGCUUUUUUAUAAAAUGACCAUCCAGGAAUUCGAAUUUGGCAAAAUAACCCUACCAAAAUUUCAUUUGUAAAACUAACCCUCCUUUCGCCAUGUGGGCGCUACGUCAGGGAUUCUUCAAAACGAUGGUGAAUCGUUCACCGCCUUUAGUACAAAUCCCUACUCUGAUGCGCAAAUCUUUCCAAGUUCAGAGUAUGGUGUCCUUGAUAAGACGGUGAAUCGUUCACCAUCUUCAUAAGGCGGGUAGCCCUAGAGAAGACGGUGAAUCGUUCCCCGUCUUCUCGAGGGCACAGGAACAGCGGACUUGAAAGGGUGGACUUGUAAGGGGAAGGGGGGUUUUGCACUAAAGACGGUGAAUGGUUCACCACCUUCUGAAGGCGGUGAACCAUUCACCGCUUUCACAACAAAUAUUACAAAGAUGGUAAACGAUUCACCGUCUUUGUGAAGAAUCUUGAUGUGGCGUCCACGUGGCGAAAAGAGGGUUAGUUUUACAAAUAAAAUUUUGGUAGGAUCAUUUUGCCAAUUUUGAGUUUUUGAAGCCCGCCGUGAUACAUAGAUUAUAACCUAAACAAUUAUGACAGUAAGAAAAAAAAUUUGUCUGUAUGACAAAUUAUAUUUAAAAGGGCUUUUUUUUGCAUUUGGCAUCUUUAAAUUUUUUUUCACAAAUAGUCUCACUAAAUUUAUAAUUAUAAUUUUGUACCAAUUCCCGUAAGGACUGAUCUAGCCCCAAUCGUGAUAUAUAAUAAAAAUUUGGUGGAACUAUAUGCAAAUUUUUUUUGAGGGGCCAAAUGAAAAAAAAGCCCUAUUUAAAAACAUAGAAGCAUAAGCAAGGUGUGAAUAGCUUUUAUUAAUGGAAAUUUACAAUUACCAUUAUAUAGGAUGUUUAUACAUAGUACAACAACAAAUAACAAUGAUGUAAUUACUCCGAAAAAUGUUUACAUGUUACAACUCACAAUAGACAAAUGAAAGUAGUCCUCAACCCAGCAAAAACAAAAUUUUGUCCUCCGAAUCUCUCGCGGCAUUAGUGAUCAAACUAAUCUGUGAGUGUAUCCAAGUUUAAUGUUAACUAUGUUUAGUUAAUGAUGAUCAGUGGAACAAGGUGCUUUUGGUUCUCAAAUCCUGAGCACUUUCAAGAGCUAUAUUUCUUCAGAUAAGCAAUUACACCGAGGCACGCAACGAGAGCAGCUCCUGCUGCAGCUCCGCUGUACGCUGCUGCCCACGCGUCCCUGUUUGCAAAGUCCAGCGCUCCCGAUCCCCCUCUCCUUCGACCCUCUGCGCUGGAGUAGUCUAAAUAUAACUUUAAACACUGCACGCGAAAACAAAGAAAGUGGUAAUCAGAGAUUACGAAAGAUUUCUGUGCACAAAACUUUUGCUGACAAUGAUAUAGACGGACUUGUUGUAUGUAUCGUCACUCGAAAAUUCGAGAUCGAUAUCUAUAUCUUGUUUUUGUUUGUCACCAUCCAUAAAAUUAAAAAUUGGAGUUAUAUUUUAAUGAUAAUGUAAUCAUGCCUUCAAACCAGCAAGUCUCGCAUGGUCGACAGCUGCAGCGAGGUCGGUGUCUGACGAGAGAACGACUUUGUCGCAGUCCUCAUCUUCAUACUGCAAAUGCAGGUGAACACAAAACAAAUCAGAAUGAGGAAGCUCUUUCACAAGAAAGAAGAUGCUAAAUCGAUUGAAUUAUUUUGAACAUACCAAAAUUUGCGGCAGGUUAUUUCCGGUAAUGUCACAGCCGAGUCUCUGAAGGAUGCAAGUGAUUAGAGGCGCCAAACUCUGCGUGUCUGUAAUGAAAAUCACGUUCAUGAUUGUCUUAAGAUGCGGAGGAAUCUAAUAGACACAUAUUCAUACAAUAUGGCCAAAUAUUGCAGAACAACAGAACUGAUUCUCAAUUUGUCAACAAUCAUACUUUUUCUUUUUUUUUUUUGCAACUUAUCUUGCUGUUGAACUUUCAGAUGUAAACUGCCCCUCCACGAUAGGACGACGAUGCACAAUUCUGAAUGAUCAAUGCACAGCUUCAAGAGAAUGCUGCCUUAAUUCAAAAUUGUGCAUCACGGUCAUGUAGUGCAGGGUCAGUUUGCUCCUAAAAAUUAGAAAAGGGCUAGACUAGCAAAAAGAAACCGAAAAAGAAGAGGAAUUUUCUUUUCUUGUUUCCUGAAAACAACAUCAUGUUUUACUUGGGAAAAAACAAAAUAGAAAAAGCAAAAGAAAAUCGGCGUAGCAAUCGUACCGCAGGUGAAUCUAUGCAUCCUCCCUUUCUUAUCCGCAAGCUUAAAGGUAAAGGCUGUAGUAGGCACACUCGAAGAAGGAUAAGGGGAACCGGUGGUUUCUGUUCCUUCAGAUGCCAUUUUCAUAGAUGUUUCGCUGACGCGUUCAAAAAUAAGAGUAUAGGCUAAAUCUAAUAUAGUAAUAGCAAAGUAAAAAAUUGUCCAUGGUUUUUUAUUAGAGAAUUUAAAUACCUCCUUGAAUCAUCCUCAUCAUCCAAGGGCCCCAUGGCCAUAGCUGAAUCCCAGAACUUUUGAAUCAAAGAAAUUGCCGCCUCAUUUCCUACUCCUCCGCGACUUUCGACCUUUUCAAGUGACGACAGGGUUGUUAGAACACUGAUAAAAUUAUAAUAGGCGGAGAGUGAAGCUACAUGUACCUUAGAAGGUCCUAUAAAAUAUUGUUGACAAGUCAACAUUUUCCGUGCGGUAGUUUAGUGAUUAGCCUUACUUUUCGAACUUGAUAUCCAUCUUAGGUGUCAUGUGUAAAAUCUGAAACUAAACAAUCACUAAUUGCCGCGUAUUCAAUUUUGACCUGACAACAACACUUUAGGAGACAUUCUGAGGUGCACGUAAUGUGGUCGGAAAUGGUUAUGCAUGUAAUGAAUGUGAAGUGACUCACUGUUGUUACAGCAGCAUGAGUUAUAUCAAUUACAUCGACGACGGAAACUAUAUUCCCAUCUGUAUAGAGGAACAAUCGAUGUCAAAGAUUCUUAAGAGGCUCUGAAACACAUAUUUACGGCGCUCGUUUAUGCAUUUACAAGUAUUUGAUUUAUCAUGGAACUGAAAGCAUACCUCGAUCCAGAACAGGAAGAUGCAAAAACUUUCCAUCUUGCAUAGUACGAAGAGCAUCGAGAAUUGGAAUAUCCACUGUUCCACAUUCAGGAUUAGGAGUCAUCACCUGGAUGUGUAAUUCGAACUGUGAAACAUAACCAGCGUAAUAUUGCAGUAACUUGCUGAAAAUGAAUACAGGUAGACGCGCAUAACAGUAAAAUUAUGGGUAUCAAAACGAGAACUCAAAUGAAGUAUGGCUGAAAAUAUUGGGACCUGAGACUGCUCUAACCAUCAUUGUCUCUAUACGUCGAUCUCAUUCUUACAAUAAAGGAUUUGUCAUAAAAUUAUAAGAUCGGUUUGCUGAGUCGAAUAAUUUACUUUCGUCAUCCCAUAUUUCUUAUCACCAUUAUUCAAAGCAAAAUGAUCAAUAAGUGAUUAUGGUUUCACAUAAAAACAAGGAAGUAAAUCGCCAGAUUCAUACACUCAUGCUUAUUAAAAAAAGAAAAAUGAAGUUGCUUGUCAGGUGACAAGGAUUGCAUACAUACUUUCUCAACAGGGGUUAACUCCGGCGAAAGGUUUCUCGCAAUAACACGCAUUAGAAUAUCCCUUGAACUGAGAUGGCAAAAAGCAGGAAAGGAAGAACACAGUUUAUUACGAUAGUUAAUUAAACCAAAAAAAAAAAAAAAACAGUAACAGUAAAUUGCAUUUGACAAAGAAUCGAAGGAUCUCACGUUAAAAUUCCAUGCGGUUUAGUUCCGACUGUCACAAUUGCGGAACUAAUUUGAAUUUCCAGCAUCUUCUUUGUUGCAGUUAACACGGAAUCGCCUGGUGAGACCGUGACAACCCUAGUAUGUUAUGCAAUGUUUUAAUGAGAUAAAUUUCACUUUUGUUCGACUACAAUAUGAAAUAAUUUAAUUAAACUACCCUUAUUCCAUGUUGAGAUAUUACCUACUUUGAAUUCCCUUUGAUGAUGGUCGACAAAGAAGGCCUAAACAUUUGCUCCCGAAGAGUUUCGAUAAAUGUAUUGGGACCUGAACAGAAAACAAUGAAAGGAAUUAUAUUAAUUUAUUUUCUUUUUCCUUAUCUACGAGUUCGUUUGCUUGAUAAAGUACAAUGGAUUAUUACCGAUUAACUACGGUCUACGGUAGAAUGCAAAUAAAAGAAAGAGACAAAAACUAAAUCACAUUGUAUAAUUGUCAACUAUUGAAGAUCCACAAACCAGAAACAGCAGUUCCCCAGUUUUUCUCCACCCCCUCAACAGCUGCCGCAAUAGCUUUUCCUUUCUCAGAAGCCCUCUCCAUCCUCGCAAUUGCAUCAUAUAGACAUUUUGCUAUGUCAAGAAGAGCGAUAACUUCUCCAUUCUCCACAACCGGCAAAUGCCUAAACUUGCCUGAAAAUUUUGUUUUCAAAAAGAAAAAUUGUAGCUAAAUAGUCGGACUUUCAUGGAAUUAUAUGAAAUUAAGGCUACUAAAUUUUCUUAAAAUCCGUAGAAAACCUUGAACCAUCUUUUGCAAUGCUUCCACCGCCAGCGUGUUCGAAAGAACAAAAACAGGAUUCCUCGUCAUGACCUUAGAAACCGGUGUAUCCUCGAGCCGCAGUUCACGUGCAAUGACUCUUGUAGCCACAUCCUUCAAUCGAAGAACGAUGAAACAUAAUUAGUACAUAAUGUACCGAGUACGUCGUAACAGUGAAGAAGAAGAGAUAUUAAAUCUGUUGACCUUAUCGGUCAGGAUGCCGCAAAGCAACGCAUUCGAGUCCGUCAGCAAUGCGGCGUCAACUCUACGAGCAGCCAUUCGUCGGCAGGCCUCGAGCACGGUUAUAUUCUCAGGCAUUGUUAAGGCUUUCGAUAAACGCAGCCUCUUUACAGUUCUCUCGCUGCCGAGAGUCCUGGUACCAAGGAAAUGAAACAUUAAUACAGCAGCAGAACUUCAUGAAUUAAACAGUCAAUGUGAUUUGGUUUACAUAUCUUAGUUAAAGAUCCACAUCUCUUUACUCUUCUCUUUCAAGUGCACAACAUUUAUAGCAAGCCAUUACAAAUAAGCUACAAUUUAGCAAGAAGCUACACAGACAUUAGAAGCACAACAAUGUCUAAUUGGAAACAGUAAAAUCAUGUAAUUUUCAUUUACAGUAUACUGUUAUCUCAUAUCAGAUUUGUUACACAGGGUAAAAUAAGAAAGGGACAAGCAUGUCUACAUUAAGCACAAUACACAUCAAUUUCCGAAAAUCGACCUAAGUUACAACUAUAUUACAACAUUACAAAGGAAAUGUCACAAUGUCAUAAAUGUUGCAAGCUCCAGCAUGACAUGGAUGGAGAGAGUUAUUGGCUUUUAUACUAAGAUUAGCCAAAUAAGAACAAAGUGAACCACUCUCCAACAAGGAAAAGUAACAAAUUACACAUCAAAGGGUCAAUUAUUGUACGCAAAAAUCCCUACUAUAUCUCGAUAUUACAUGUAACUUUAGGGUUAAUUGCACCAUUGGUCUCUGCAACCCUUUAACCAAGUUUUCACUUGGCCCCUAACCUAUAAAUAUUUGCAAUUAGCUCCUACAAUUUUUAAAUUGUUUUAGUUAAAUUACACUGUGAUAAUACGUGGUGCUGACGCGACAAUUUCAGUACUAAUUAUUGGACCUUUCAAAUGAAACAACUUAGAUGAAACAACUAAGUCUCAAUUGUAAAAAUAAAAGGGUGAAAUGCACAUGGAAUCCCUGAACUUUACCUUUUUUACGCAAAGAGGCAUGUGAUUCUGAACUUUUAAUUUUAGCAAAUACAGUUUCUAAACUUUAUCAGAAAGUUCAAUGGUCUUUCUUCUCAAGUAAAGUUACUAAUUACACAACUUUUUGGACCCCAUAAUUCUAUAAAGCAUCAUAAUAUAAAAAAAUUUAUUUUUCUACCCCAAUUUUGAUAAUUAAGCCAAAUUUCAAUUUUUAUCGAUUUUUUCGCACGUUAGAAUACAAAAAAAAAAAAAUGUUCGUGUUUUAAAGCUUUAUAAAACUAUAUGCAAACCAUACGAAUGACUAGAACGAUUACAUAACUAAAAAUUUAACUGGGGAGAGGGCCAUGUUGAACUAUUUGAUAAAAUUUAGAAGAUAUAUUACCAAAAUUAAAAGUUCACAUGCCAAAAUGCAAAAUAGAUAAAGUUCAGGGGCUCUCCAUACAUUUCCCCCAAAGUAAAAUGAUUAAAGUGGAGUUUGGUCCCCGCAAUCCUACAAUUAGGCCUCACUUCGCAUCACGACGAGAUUGAAUUAUAUAUUUCUCCAAAAACGAAAGAGAGAGGGAGAAAGAGAGAGAGAGAAACAGAAAUGGCGCGCACAGAGAUCGGGACAUAGACAGCUUCCGCGGGGUAGCGUCUCCGGCGCCGGCGGCACUCUCGAUCAGCUUCGUCCCCGGCGAGCUGCCGGCCGAGGUGGCGCGCCGCGAGGAUCCGCCGCUGUCCAUCUCGCGCCGCCCCCCGACUAGGCUGUCUUCCCCGCCGUAGAAAUUAGGGUUCGUUGAUUAAUCCGGUUUUCAACACAGAGAGAGAGAGAGAGAGAGAGAGAGAGAGAGAGAGAGGUGCGUCGGAGGUUUCGCGGUUUUUUUUUUUUCCCCUCCCCUUUCUACGGAAAGGGAAGCUCCAUUGGCCGCUAAUUAAAUUCCUUGUCUUAAAUCUUAAUAAUUAAUUAAAUCGUUAAUUUUAUAAACGAUCUCGGAAAAAUAUCAAAUAGUAAAUAUAUUUCUAUAAAAUUAAAUAUAUUUAUCCAAAACUUUAAUUUGUUAUAUAUAUAUAUAAUAUAUAUAUAUAUGUAUAUAUAUAUAUAUAUAUGCUUCUGUAGUUUGAUUGACCGUUAGUUGAACGCAUAAAAUUACUAUUUUAUCUUUACAAAAUUCAUCAAUGUAAAAGUUAUCCUUUUUCUCUUUCCUCGCCUUCAUCACCACUAUACGUGCGGCGUAUCUCAUGACCGAAGGCUUUGCCUUUGACAUACACAGCGACGGUAGUGUCGCCGUUGCCUUGGACAAAAAAAUGUGUUUAGAAAGAAGACAAAUUUAAUAUUAAAAUACAAAUUUUAUACCAAUCAUUUCUAGUGCAAAUAGCAAAAAUUGAUGUUAGUAUCCGAGAUCCUAAGUUAAAUCUAGUGUUGAUUUACAUUUACAGCUAAGUUUAUUUUCUAUUUAAUAAAAAAUUAAGUUUAUUUCUAAAUAUAAAUAAAUAAAGGGAUAGUGUGAUAUCCAUCUUUUUAUAUAUAUAUAUAUAUAUAUAUAUAUAUAUAAAUAUAAAGAAUAAAAAGAUUAUUGAGCUCCACUUUAGCUACCAUCAUUGAGCAAAUAGUGGGGAAUAAAGAGCCGUGUUUAGCCAUGGUGUUAAAUUUAGAUAUAACGAAUAUUGAGAUAAUUUUUAAAAAAUUUUUGAAAUAGCUUAUUAUUUCGAGAUAGUCGUGUUUGGUUAAUUUUAAAAAUAGUAGAGACGGUGAAAGAAAGUGAUAAUUAAAUUUAAUAUAAAAUAUUAAUUUAAUAAAAAUAAUUAUUAUCAAAAUAAUUUAAUAUAAAUAAUUUAUUAUAAUAUUUAUUAAAAAAUAAUUAUUAAAAAUUUUUUUUUCAAAUUCUACUUCAACUUAAAUUUAAUAAAAAUAAUUUAUUAUAAUACUUAAGCACAAAUAAUAUAUAUUACAAUAGUAUAAUUAAUAAUUUUAUAAUAAAAAUUAUAUAUUAUAAUAUAUUGCAGAGUCCGGCUACAAUUCUAUUUAUAGAUAGCGACACUUAUUCCUAUCAAGUCGUUUUGAAUGAUCGGAACUUCAAAUUGAUAAUCGGCACCGUUGAAAUUGAUCUACACAAUUAGAAAUGUUUAGAAACCAAAUUUUGUAAAAUUUAAAAAUUAUUAUCAAGUUCAUCUUAAGAGUUAAAAAAUGAACAGUCAUAAAUGAAUAACCUUCUUAAAAUAGAGGUUAGACUUUCUCAAUUCAUAAUCAGAGUUAUCAAACAUUAUCUAAAUAGUAUAAAGAAUUUUCUAUCAAAAAUUUAAGUAAUUUGGAUUGCUUUACACCGUUAAACAAGCAAACUGCUUAUAUAGGCCGUCAAAAAUUGUCGAUUUUACGACACUUUGAUCACCAUGUAAAUAAUUUUUAAAAUUUAUGAAAUUUAGUUUCUAGAUGUUUCAAAUGCUCUAGAUCAACUUCAACGGCUCCGAUCAUCGAUUCGGAAUCUCUAUCAUCAAGAACAAUUUGAUAGGACAAGUGCUACUAUCUUAUUAAUAGGAUAAUAGCCCUAGCCUAUAUUGCAUGUCUAUAUAAUUUACUUUAAUUUAAUUUAUAAUAUUAAUAAAGUUUUGAAUUUAACCUUGGAAUAACACUAUUCCAGCAAAGGGAUGGAAUAGUUUAUUACAAACUAUUCUGGGAUAACUGCAAAUAACUAGAUUUGAACGAAAUAUUUUAUUCCGGCUAGCGAAUACCUAGUUUGGCAGAAUAAUAGGGAUAAGUUAUCUCCGCCUUAUCCCCAAACCAAAUAGAACCUUAAGUUUUUGAACAAUAAUGAUUAUUUAUAUAAUUUAAUAUAUUAUAGGAGAAUGAGGAAGUCCUAAAUUUGAUUAUUAUUUUCUCUCAUUUAAUUAAAUUCACAUUAUGGACCAAUCAAAAGUCUCUGGUUCGAACAUAAGGAAAGAAGUAUUAAAUAUAAAAAUAUAAGAGUAGAGCUACUAUGCUAUCGGAAGUAUAGAGGAUCUGAUGCUUUCAACUUUUUGGUCCUUAAAUCAGCCCAUUUAAACGUUCUAAGUAUGAAUUCUAAAAAUUUUUUUGCCCGCUUCGUUUUUUUUAGGAAUAAACUUAGCUGAAAAUGUGAAUCAAUUAGAAUUCGAACUUGAGAACUCUGAUACCAACUAUUAAGCACCUUACCAUUUGCGUUAGGUAUAGUCGGUGACUAGAUGCAUAGUCUAUUUUUAAAAAUCUACCCUAUCUAUAGAUUCAAAAAAUCCCUCUAAAUUUAACCUCUCCUCCACAGGCCAAUAUUUUACAGUAGUAAUAUUGUCAAUCUUUUUUUAAAAAAAUAUUAUUAAACCAUUGCUUCAUUUUUUUUCUUAAAAAAGGAAAACCUUUUUAGCAGACAACUAGUCCUUAUGUCCUGACAUAAGAAUCUACUGCAUGUCACGUUAAUUUGUUGAAAGUUUUGGGCACAUCAUCCGGGCAAUGUAACUAAAGUCUACACAUUGUAUACAUUGCUGUUAAAUAUAAAAGUAUUUAAAUACUAUUCUUUAUAAAUUUAAAUUUUUAGAGUAUAAUGGUUAUUUUUUAAUAUUUAGCAUAAUAUCAGAAUAUGAGGUACUAAGUUUAAGUCACGUCAAGCAUCUAACAUUAUUAAUUUUCUUUCAUUUAAUUUAAAUCCACGUUAUGGGCCUAGAGAAAAUUCUCAAGUCCAUACGUGAGCUUAACCUUUUAUAGAAAAUAACUAUUAUUUCGUAUAAUUUAAUAAAUGUGUAUAGUAAAAAAAAUAUAAUAAAAAGACAUAAAUUAUAUUUAUCUUUAUAAAACUUUUGUCUCCAUAAACCGUUUUGCCAAAUAAAAUUUUUAAAAAAUCCUAAUACCAAAAGAAAGUGGUCAAUUUAUUAUUAUUCAUCAGUAGGCUACUAUACAAUAGUACUUGUGUGCUCCUUUUUACUCUAAUAUAUGGAGGAAUAAUUUCUAUGUAUCACACUAGUGUACAGGCCACAUGCAUGCAACUUAGAACACAUCUGUUCCAACAUUUUGCACCACCAAUAAUUUUAGCUGGCUUUUGAGCAAAGCAACCAAAAGUUUAUUCUACAUUGGCACAUCGGGACAACAAGUCAAAUUGUACCAAAAAAGAAAAGAGAAGUAAAGCAAUGACAAGAACUUAAAAGAACAUUAAAGCAACUCAACCACUUACACCUGUUGGAUGCAUUUUAAUCCAAAGGAUACACCCCCACCCCCCNNNNNNNNNNNNNNNNNNNNNNNNNCCCCCCCCUUCUCUCUCUUAGUGGUCAUUCGAUCGAUCUUUUAAAAAAAUACGGUAUCAAAGUUAAUUCUAAUCCUCCUAUAUACCUUCCACGAAGCCAUAGAUUCAAUUCUGCAAAGUAGUUGGAGUGUUUUAUAGGUCUCUUUCUUAGUUAAAACUAUUCUCGAUCACGUCAUUCGCUGUUUGUUGGAUCGAUCUUUUGAAAAAUAUGGUAUAACAGAAUUCUUAUUAUCUUUUCAAUCAGCGUCCAUGUGACAUAUGUAGCUCACAAGUAAGGGUUUUGCUGCUAUUUUCGAACAGCAAUAAUAUAUCCGAUCGAUUUGGUGGGUAACGAUAAUCAGCAACUUCACUCAUGCAUAUAUGUUAGCUUGAUCCUGUACCGGCAUAAAUGGUGGAAUGAGACUUGUGUUGUCCACUUAUGGGGACAAGAAAUAACACCAAAGGGUGUCCUAUUGUGGAUCUGACUCAAUCACUGGACCCAACCCUCAACCACCAUUCUUUUCCACCCCUCACUUUCCUCUCCAUGUCCUUCUCAAAUAGGACAAUCCAUUAAUUAUAGAAGGAUAUGGAAAUAAAGGGGUCAUGGCCUUAUGGGCAUGAUGAUCAUCAUGUAAGUUCUAAGUUUUGAAGAGAUACAAGUUGAUAGGCCCCUCCUACCAUAUAGAUACAUUAAUCAUACACUAGGCUAAUCAAUAAGCUAAUAAAAUGUGCCAUUUCAUAAGAGAUUUUUUUUUUCUUUUUUAUUAUAUCUAAAUGAUGAUUUUUGAUUGGUCUAGUCCACAUGUAGGUCAUCCAAGCAGUUGGCUGGUAGAUCCAUGGUUUUAGAUUCAGUGGUUUUGUAAGAGUUCUUUGUUUUUCGCGUCAUCGCAUAAGAUCGCAAAAUAGCCUGAAUAGUGAAUCACAUGUUUGAGUCAGCUGCAUGUCUGAUAUUUCAAAAUUUUAAUUUUACUAUCCAAUCUUUCAAUUUAUAUAAUUAAUUCGAGUCAAUCGACGAUAUUUUGAAUUUAAAAAUUUAAGCUAAUUACUUAUUUUAAUAAGCUUAUUAUUGCAAGAAUUAUAUGAACUAUGCUAAUGAGACCUAUAAAGAUGAACACCAGAUUCAAAAUUCGAAGUCAAAAUAUUAUUGACCGACUCAAAUCAAAUAAAUUAAAAGGUGAAUACUAAAAUCAAAAUUUUUAAAAAUUAGAAAGCGAACUCAAAAUGGUCCACAGUUUUAAAAAGUUCUAUACAUUUUCACCAAAUAGAUGUGUGGGACACUAUUUACAGUAUUCGAACUCGAUGAAUAUCCAAUCUGUUUAGAUUCAGAUCCAUGGGCUAUAGCUCAAUCUCAAUCUAACUUGAACCCAGGUUUUGGACAUGGUUUUAAGUAGGGGUGUAAACGAGCCGAACACGAGCGAGUUGGGAUCGGCUCGUGUUCGGCUCAUUUUAACACGAGCUGGCUCGCUAAAGUAUAGAGCCGAAAAAUUCAGCUCGUGUUCGGCUCGUUUAUUAACGAACCGAAUACGAGCUGGCUCACGAGCUGGCCAACGAACAAUAAAUUAAAAAAGAUUGGAUUAAAUAUAUAUAAAAAUAAAUUUAUAAAAUUCUUAUCCAUUAGACUUUGAUCUAAUAGUUGAAAUUUUACAUAUAAAUGAGUCUUUUUAUAAUUAAGCUCUCAUUUAUAUUUUUAUUUUACUAAAAUUAAAUAAUAAAAUAUAUAUUAUAUAUAUUAUUAUUUAUAUAUAAAAAUAUAAAUUAAUUAAUUAUAUAAAUAUAAAUAUAUGUAUUCGAGCUGUUAUCGAGCCGAACAUGAGCGAGCUGCCCCAGCUCACGUUCGGCUCGUUUAUUAAACGAGCUGAAAAAUUCAGCUCGUGUUCGGCUCGUUUACUAACCGAGCGAGCCGAUCUCGAGCUCAUUCGAGUCCGAAACACGAGCUGGCUCGCGAACAGCGAGCUGGAUUGCCACCCCUAGUUUUAAGUACACGAACUACAUUAAUGAUGGGUCAUGGGUAUCUGAUCCAAAUCUCAUAAUUGAGCUAUCAUUCUUUAAGUAUGGAAUUCAAAGGUAAUGAUUCUAGUUUGAGUUUAUAGGAUUGUUAGGGUCCAUUGAAAGCCAUAAUUACAUGUUGUGUUCAAACAAGUUAGGAAUUUAAUUAGGAUUCUGUCCCUACCCCAACAACUAAAUUAUGAACUGCUUGACUCUACUUUCUUCUUCUUUUUUUUCUUUUUUUUUUUCUUUUUCUUUUUUCCACUUUCAGUAGAGCCUAUGACAANAAAGCUUUUGAGCCUCAAAAGUAAAAACUUUACGCCUCAUUUGGUAUUGAUGUGGUUUUUUUUUUUUUUUUUUAAUAUAUUUACAUAUUUUUUAAAUAGAACUUUACAUGACAUAACUUUCGAAGAAAUUAUGGAAUGUUUGUAAAUGUUUAUAUCAAAAAUAUAUAUUUGGCAAUAACUUGAAAAUAAGAUUUUUUAUUUUCUCUCUCACUUUCAUGAUUUUUUAGAAUAAACUUUCUGUCAUGACUUGUAUGGAGUAAUUGCAAGCUUGUUGAAGGUACUAACAAGAUGCAAGUCAUUCUGUCGAUAUAUCAAAUCAUAGGAUUAGCAUUUAAAGAAUUAUUUUUUUUAAAAUAAUGAUACCAAACAAGGCCUUAUAUUGGUAUUUCUGAUUUACGACAAAAAAAUACUUUUGACGAUAUAUUAAGAUGAAAAAUAUUAAAUCUACAAUCCAAAAAAGGAUGGUAAUUUUGGCAUGCAGUGUUUAUAAACUCCUUUUCGAUUUUUAGUUCAUAUAAAAAAAAGUGUAAAGGGGCUACUAUACUCAUAAGAGUGUAAUAGCCGGACUCACAAGUUUACUAUCUGAACUUUCAAUUUAUUUGAUGUAAGUUAGUUAACGAUAUUUUAAUUUCAAAAUUCGAGCUAAUUUUUUAUUUUAAUAAAUUUACAAUUACAAGAAUUACAUAAAGUAUACUAAUCAAGCUUAUAAAAAAAAUAAUAUAUUCAAAAUUUAAAAUCAAAAUAUCAUUGACCGACUCAAAAUUUUAAAAGAUUUGAAUAGUUGAUUCAAAGCAGUCGAAAUUAGAUAUGUCAACGGGUCAGAUUUGGGUUUGGGUUUUUAAAAAUCCGAACCCGAACCUGAACCCGAUAACCAAAUUAAAACCCGUAUCCGGAUCCAAAUCCGGCGGGUUUUAAAAAUCCAUACCCAUCCGUACCCAACCAAAAAUCUGAAACUCGAAUCCGGAUCCGAACCCGGUGGGUUUUAAAAAUCCAUACCGUUGAAUGAAGAUCUAGAGAUAAAAAUUAUUAAAUAUUUUAUAUAUUAUAUGAAUAAAUAAAAAUAAAUUACGUAUAUAUAUAAUUUAUUUGGGUUUGGGUUCGGGUUCUGGUUUGGAUCGGGUAAAUACGAAAUCCAUAUCCGUAUCCAUAUCCGUCGGAUAUUUAUUUUCUAUACCCAUAACCGAAUCCAUAUCCGUUCAGCUCGGAUAAAUCCGUCCCGUUUGAAUUCGGAUUUGGAUAAUAUUUUGGGUGUUCAUACCCAUUGACAUCCCUAGUCGAUACUCAGGUAGCGCUUGGUGGAUCACAACACUAAAUUCUAGAGCACGGGCAAAAGAUCCGACCCGUUCCCCCAAUCUCCCGUUUUUUCCCUCCAUUAUCCCCUCCCACUCCCCUCUCCUCCACUCCUUAAAUAGAUAGAAACACACUUUAUGUGAGUGAUCAAGAACAAAGCAAAUUAAGCUCUCUCUCUCUUUGGAUCACUCCGAGCUCCGGCACCGGCGAAGAAGAAGGAGAAGGAGAAGGAGAAGGAGAAGAGAAUUAUCGUUCGAACGGUCGGAUACUUGUCGACGGAGAUGUCAGACUGGGGGCCGGUGUUCAUCGCGCUGGUGCUGUUCAUCCUGCUGUCCCCGGGGCUGCUCUUCCAGAUCCCCGGGAAGUCCCGGAUCGUCGAGUUCGGCAACUUCCAGACCAGCGGCGUCUCCAUCGUCGUCCACGCCCUCAUCUUCUUCGCCCUCCUCGCCAUCUUCAUCAUCGCCAUCGGCGUCCACAUGUUCCUCGGCACGUGACCGUAUGUAGAAUCCGUCCGUCGGUCGUACUGCUUUACGAUUUGAGCACUGCAUGUGAUGAACGGUGGAUUCGACUGUCUCCACCUGAGGAUAUAUGGUUCUCCCGAAUGGAUGUUUUUUUUUUUUUUUUUUUUUUUUAUUGCUAUAUAUAUUGAGAUAUGUUCCUUGAAUUUUUAGAUGGUGUUUUCUCGGUUCCUGGAUUAUGAAUUUUAAUAAACAUGUAUUAUUGGACUAAGAGGAAUUUGUCCGGAGCCAAACUGUGCGGUCUUUAUUUUAAUCCGAACUUUCCGCCAUAUUUUAUUUUAGUUGUCGAACUUUUAAUUUCGAUAUUAAAGACCCUAAAUCUUUAAAAAGAAUUUCCUGUCAAAAUAAAUUAUUUGUAUACACAGAAUUUGUGAUGUACGAAUAUACCAAUUAAGAACUAGAUAGAAGCAAUGAAUUAUUACUUUUUGAUAAGGACUAUAAUAAAUAGUUUUGCAAGUUCAGGGAUCGAAAUGAAAUAUUGUUGAAAAUUUAAGAUCCCAAAUUGUAUCACUAAUGUUUGUGACCAAAAUGAAAAUCUAGUGAAGGUUCAGGGACUAGCCAGUAAUGCCAUCUCCCCCUUGUUUCGUCAGCCUUCUGCAGCAGUUAGCUAGCUUUUGGACUCUUCAGAAUCAACUAUUAUUUAUUUGACAAAUAAAAAUUUAUAGUUUUUUGCUUUCGUCCGAAGGUCUGAUGAGUUUUCCAAAUAAGAUCGAUCUUUUAGAUAAUACGGUAUUAAAGUCCGUCGUGCUGCGAACUUGCGACUGCACUUCAGUUAUAACUGUAUGAAGAUCUAAAUUUGGCAUUUAUGUAGGUGCAUUUGAAUUCAAAUGCUUUAGUUACAACUGCACAAAAAAUCUCCGCUGCAGUAGUUGAAACUAUGCCCAAAUUGACGUCAGUUCCAAUUACCGAACUUGAAAAGAAUACUUUUAAAUAAAGAUAAACUUACCUUCCCUAAUAAGCUUUCAAAAUGUAUUUUUUUUCUUUCCUAAAUAGGGGGUAAUCUUAUCAACCCAAAUAUAAAAUAAUAUAAACUCUUCAUUGCACUUCUCAACUGUAUGCAACCAAACAAAACAUUUAUUGCCGCAAUAUUUUCUAAUAUAUCAAAUCAAACAAAAAAUAUAUAAUUAUAGUUACUAUAUUUCUAACUGCACGCAUCUCCUACCACACUAUAUUUAUAAUUACAUUAAUCCAAACAGCUCCUUAAACCCUCUUUAUUUUAAGAGUUUCACAGUUUGAUUCCCAGAUUUGUCAUUUUCCUAUGGUUAUUUCUUUUGUUACUUCUCUAGUUAGCUAGUGUACGACAUAAUCACUUGUCUAUUAUGCAUAUAAGCGGAGCGUUAGAAUAUAAUUCUGAAUCGUUUCCUAUAAGAUUGAUCUUUCGGAUAACAAAAUUACACUACUUUUACGAUCAAUCCAAGGUCAAAACAAGCAUCAAAAUACUUGUAAAAUUACGAAACGUAAACGAAACAACUCUAAUAGUUCUAAUAGUUCCCCUGCAGAUCGAAACACAAAACCAAAAGUAUCUUAAAUUAGAUGUAGAGGUGAGCUUGGAGGAUAACAAGGAACAACAUGAGGAGGAGACCAAAGAUGAUGGCAUGCACCAGAAUGGAAGCCCAACUAGUCUUCAUGCUCAUGAAGUCGACCGGUCGAUUCCUCCCCGGCAGCUGCGCGAUCACUCCCGGGCUGAGGAACGCAAAAAGAGCCGAUGCUAUGAUCGACGGAGCCCAAUCCUUCAUUGCAAACAACUCCAAACUUAACAAAAAAUAUAAAAAAAAACAACUACACAAAUUUUUACAAUUUUUUUUUUUUUUUUUGAGAGAGAGAAGGGGAGAGGGGUUAUAUAUAAAGAGAGAGAUAUGUUAUUGAGAGAAAUGAAGAGAAAGAGGCAUUGGAUGCCAAUAUGCACAUCAGUUGGUCAGAGCAGGGCAUCUUGGAAAGGUGGAGAAGAACAAUUAUUCCAAGGAAUUUUUAAGUUACUUUAUAGUAAAUUAUAUUCGUGGUUUUUUGAAUAGUUUCUUUUUAUAAAAGAACUAAAUAUGCAUUUGACAAAUUAUAAAAAAAAUAUGUCUUUUGGAGCCUUGGGGAAGCCAAAGUAAGGCUUUCAUUCGGGCUCAACAACGAGGUUUCUAUUUAGAACUUCAGACAGGAGAAAGCAAUUUAGUCUAAGUAGAGCUUGAAGAAGUACGGUACCGAGUCUUUGGUUGCUAGGCUUUCGAAGUUACAACCUGCAGACGAAUUAUUGUACCUGGAUAGAAUUUAUCUAUAAAUUUUUUGAUAGCCAUCAUCUUUAUCUACCCACAGAUUGGCAUACGGGUAUACAGAUUACCCACAAGUAGGGGUGGAAACGAGCCGAGCUCGAGCGAGCUUACCUCGGCUCAAAUUCGACUUGAAAUUAAUUUCAAGCCUAAAUUUAAGCUCAAGCUUGGAUUGAAAUUAAUUUGAGCCGAGCUCGAGCGAGCCUAAUUUCGAGUCGAGCGAGCUCGAGCCCUAAACGAGCCGCUUGAAAUUUUCAACAUCAUACGAUCAAUAGUUUAAUUUGUAUAGAACAUUAUCUAUAAUUUGAUACAAAAAUAUGUCUAAUAGUUCAAAGUAUAAAGUAAUUAUAUAAAAUAUAGUAUUAUAAUAUGAAAAAAAAAUUUAUGAGUUGAAUAUCUAAUCUUUUCAGCUUUGUCUUUUCUUCCACCUUCAAUCUCCAUAUUAUUCAUUUUCAUUUAUAUAGUCAAAAAUAAAUAAAUUAUAUAAAUAAAUAUUGGAUUAAACUAUCCAAUCAUAUAUACCUAAAAUUAAAAUUUUAUAUGAAUAAUAAUUUUUUACUUUAAAAAUAUUAUGUAUAUUUUCUAAAGCAUACAAUUAAUAGCAAGAUAGGCAACGACAGACAUAUGGUGCUACUUGGUAACUUGGAAGGCUUCCGGCUUGGCCACAUAGGGUGAGAGACAGAAAUAAAGAAAGAGAAAAAUAUAUUGAAAAUUUAAAGCUAUGUGAAAGAAAGAAAGAAAGAAAAAAUGUAUAAAUUUAGUAAAAUUUUGCUUUUUAUUUGUCUAUUGGGUUUGUUUUUAUGGGCCAACAAUAUUGGCCCAAUUUUAACUAAACUCAAAUUAUUCACUCAGCCUAUAUAUAAUUAAAAUAUAUUAUAUUUAUAUAUUUUUUAAUAUAUAUAUAUAUAUAUAUAUAUACAUAUAUAGUGUAGAACUACUAUGCUAUCGAAAAUAUAGAGGAUUUGAUGUUUUCGAAUUUUUGACCCUUUGAUUAAGAAUUGUAUGGUUGGAAUAAUUGCGGUCCCUCCUAGGAUUAAAUAAUAUUCCUAGGAUUGAGUGGUCCCUACAAGAUAAUAAUAGUAUUAAUUCAAAGAAAUGAUUAGUUGAUCUAAAAAUCAAAAAAUCGAAACCACCAGAUCCUCUAUACUUUUGAUAGCAUAGUAGCACUACCAUAUAUAUAUAUAUAUAUAUAGAGAGAGAGAGAGAGAGAGAGUCCGGCUACUAUAUUAUUGAUAGUACCAAGUCCUUAAUACUAUUGAGUUUUCUACCGUUAGAUCUACCCUUUGAUCAUUUCCACCCGUUAAAUUAUACUAUUAAACCAACCACCCACUCAACCCUAUGGGACCACUAUCAAUUUAACCGGGGACCACUAUCAUCCUAACUGCACAUCCUUUCAUCCAACGACCGAAAACUCAAUAGUACCAAGGGCUUGGUACUAUUGAUAGUAUAGUAGCAUAAUUAUAUAUAUAUAUAUAUAUAUAUAUAUAUAUAUAUAUAUAUAUAUAUAUUAUAUAUAUAUAUAUUCAAGCUUUUCGAGCUUUUCGAGCCUGAUUUGAACGAGCGAGUAAUACUCAAGCUCGGCUUGAAAUAAAUUUCGAGCCUUUUUUUUUUUGUUCAAGCUCGGCUCAUUUAAUUUCAAGUCGAGCACGAGCGAGCCAAAUAUCGAGUCGAGCGCGAGUCGAACACGAGCCGGCUCGCUCAUUUGCCAGCCCUACCCACAAGGUACCAAAUAUUUGGUGCUUUAAAACCUUUGUACUAUACUCAUAAUAUAUAUAUAUAGCAGGACAACACACACACACUAUAUAUAUAUAAUAUACUAUAUAUAUAUAUAUAGCAGGGCUGCUGUGCUCUCAGGAGCACGGAGGCUUCCGUGCUCCUGAGCCGUUUUCGAUGAUGGAGUUUCCGAAUCGACGAUCGGCUCCAUUAAAUUUGAUCUAGCGUAUUUGAAGUUUUUAGAAAAUAAUUUUUGCGAUUUUUCGAUAUCAUUUACCUAGCAAUCGAAAAUAUUCAAAAUCAAUAAUUUUUAACGGUUGAAAGUAUGGAGCCUUCCAUACUUCUAAGUCAUUUUCGAUGUUGGGACUUUCGAAUCGACGAUCGGCUCCGUAAGAGUUGAUCUAGAGUAUUUGAAGUACUUGGAAAAUAAAUUUUGUGAUUUUUCGAUAUCAUUUGCCUAGUAAUCGAAGGGGCUCAAAAUCAAUAAUUUUAACGGCCGUGGUGAGCCGUUUGCAAGUAACGGUGUAAUAAUAUUCAAAUCGCGUGAAAUUUUGAUAGAAAAUUCUUUAUACUAUAUAAAACAAGAUCAAUAAUUUUGAUCUAAAAUUUUAAUGUCAUAUCAUCAUAUUUUGUAAGAUUUUUAUUUUCAGCCGUUGAUUUUGAGCCCUUUCGAUCACUAGACAAAUGAUAUCGAAAAAUCAGAAAAUUUAUUUUCUGGGUACUUCAAAUACUCUAGAUCAAAUUUAACAGAACUGAUCGUCGAUUCGAAAAUCCCAACAUUGAAAACAACUUGGAAGCACGGAGCGCUUCGUGCUUCCAGAAGAAUACCAGACGCACUAUAUAUAUAUAAAGAGAGAGAGAGUUGAACUAGAAUAUUAUCGAUAGCAAACGACUUCCGUUGCCACCUAUUUAUUUUUUAUGAUGGAGCCUCCAAAUCGACGAUCGACACCAUUGAGCAUGAUCUAUAUCACUUGAAGCAUCUAGAAAUCAAAUUUUAUGUCUUUUCAAUAUUAUUCUCUUGUCUAUAAAGUGGACACAAAAAUGAACGGCUGAAAAUGAAUAUUCUUUAAAGGUGAUGAUAGAAAUUUUAUAAUCAAGAUCAAGAGUAUAGAUCUUGUUUUAAAUAGUUCAAAGAAUUUCUAACUAAAAUUCAAUUGGUUUGGAUAUUUUUAUGCCGUUAAUUGAGAAAAUAUCUCAUAUUGAUCAUUAAAAUUAUAAAAUUUGAAAUCUUUUGAUUAUUAGAUCAAUGAUAUUGAAAAGAUUUAAAAAUUGGUUUCUAGAUGCUUCAAGUGGUAUAGAUCAUAUUUAAUGAUAUCGAUUGUCGAUUUGGAGGCUUCAUCAUCGAAAUAAAUGAGUGACAACAGAGCCCUUUUGUUUUGUUUUGUUUUUUUUUUUUGAGAGAUAGAUAGCACGCUACCCGCUUCGUUUAUUUUAUUUAGAAAUAAACUUAGCUGAAAAUGUGAAUCAACUAGUAUUCGAACUUGGGUCUCGGGUACCAACCACAGAGCCCAUUUGUUAAUGAUAGCAUUCUAGCUCUACUCUUUCUCUAUAUAUAUAUAGAAAGAGAGAGAAUAGGGCUACUAUACACUUAUGAGUAUAGAACUCUUGUACUCAUAAGUUGUUUUCAACGAUAGAGCUUCUGAAUAGAUGAUCCACGUCAGUAAAUAUGAUCUAGAGCAUUUGAAAUCUAUAAAAAAUAAAUUUCGUAAUUUUUCGAAAUUAUAAUAAAGUUCAUCAGGCGGGCACAAAAUGAAAAGUCAAAAUUGAACGACAUCCUAAAAAUGGAUUAUUGGAUCCUUUAAUGCAAGAUCUGAGUUAUCGACCUUUAUCUAAAUAGUAAAUAGAAUUCUCUAUCAGAAUUUCAACCAAUUUCGAUUCUUUUGUACUGUUAAACUAUUAAAUAUUCUAUACUGGCCGUUAAAAGUUUUCAAUUUUGAGAUCAUUUAAUCGUAAGGUAUAAUGUUGAAAAAUUAUAAAAUUUGAUUCCUAAAGGUUUCAAAUGGUCUAAAUCAUAUUUAAUGGUAUGAUCGCUGAUUUGAAAAUUUUAUUAUCGAAAAUAAUUUAUGAGUAGUAAGAUGAUCAUAUUCAUAUAAGUAUAGUAGUCGGACUCUCUCUCUCUCUCUCUCUCUCUCUCUCUCUCUCUCUCUCUAUAUAUAUAUAUAUAGUCCAACUUGUAUGCUUUUAGAAGCACGGUGGUCUCGUGCUAUCAAGUCAUAUUUAAUGCUGGGACUUUCGAAUCGAUCAGUUUUAUUAAACUUGAUCUAGAGUAUUAGAAAUAUUUAAAAACUAAAUUUUACGAUUUUUCAAUAUCAUUUAUUUUGUGAAAUGACUCAAAUUCAAUGGUUGAAGAUGAAAAUCUUACAAAAGUGAUGCUAUGACAAUAAAAUUUUAAAUCGAAAAUAUUGAUAUCGUUUUACAGGAUAAAAAUUUUUUUAGCAAAAAUUUAUGUGAUUUGAAUAUUUCUACACUUUUAAACUUGUAAUUGGUGCACCAUGUCUAUUAAAAUUGUUGAUUUUGGGCCUCUUCAAUCACUAGGUAAAUAAUCUCAAAAAAUUAUAAAAUUUUUUUAGAUACUUUAAAUACUUUAGAUCAAAUCUGACGGAACCGUUUGCAACAUAAAAGAUGAUUUAAUAACACAGAGUCCUUUCUAAAAGUACAUAAGUAUGCGCAUAGACCAUGUGCGAACAUACACUCCAAUAUCAUGCAUAAGAUCCAUAAAUUAGGGAUAAUUAUGGUAUAAAAAAUUGAUAGAUAUUUUCGUGUCAUCCAUUAUAUUAGAUCCAAUGGCACAAAUUUAUUACGUUAUAAAAAAAAUUAGAAAAUAAAAUUUGAUUGUAUGGAUCUGACUAAGUUAUUGUAAAAGAGAUAGAUGAGAUUUUUCGGAGUAAAUAAAAAAUAUGUUAUAAGAGAAGGGUAUUUUUGAUAAAAAGACGAUCAAACUAUUUGUUUAUAUAUAUAUAUAUAUAUAUAUAUAUAUAUAUAUAUNAGAAAAUAAUUAUUUUAAAAAUUUUAAUUACAGAAUAUAAAAUUAAUAGAACACCAAAAACAAUUAAUCAAAAUUUUUUAUGCCGUUAACCGAAAUAAAACCAUAGUUAGUUAAUUUGGAUUCGGCAAAAAUUCGGUACGGAUAUAAUUCGGAUAAAAUUCGUCUUCUAAUUUUUAAAUUCGUUGAAAAAUACGGCUAAAAAACAGAUUCGUCAAUUAUUCGGAUACGUGAUUUAUACGGAUAUUAUACGCUCAUCAAUUAAAAAUUCGGAAUAAAAAAUUCAGCUAUUAAAUUAAGUUUUUUCCUCUCAAGAUUUAUGCUAAUAGCAUAAAUACUCAUAUUUCUUAAGAAUAUAAGAAUAAAGAGCUAAAUAAUUAAGCUAAUUAAGUAAAAAAAAUAGCUAAUUAAGUAAAAAAAAUAGCAAACUAUAUUAUACCUCAAAAUAAAUAAAUAAUUAAGUAAAUAAGAUAUUAAGAUAGUUUAUAAGAGAUUAAAUUUUUUUGAUCGACUGAUUUUUUUUUUUUUUUAUAUUUAGGGAAGAGGAGGGCAAAGGUUUCGGAAAAUUUUUUUUUUUUUUUCUUUUGGGCGACGUAUGUUUUUUUUUUUUUUUAAUCUGUUUGGGGUGAGCCACGAGGCCCACAAGACCCACAAGGCCCACGAGCCCCGUGGCUCGCGAGCCACAGCGGGCAGGAGCGAGCGCUGGAGCGCGCGCAGGCGCACGCGCGAGCGUGUUCCUGCCGCGAGAGCGGGCCCACGGGCCGUUUGUUUGAAUGAAUUAUUUGCGAAUCGCGAAUAAUUCGCGAAUAAGUAAUUUUUGUCCAAAAAAUUACGUUUUUUUCCAAAUUUUUUGGAAAAAUACGAAAACGCCCGUUUAAUUCGUUUUUUCAAAAAUUCGUGAAUAAUUCGGCUAAAAUUCGCGAAUUUACUAACUAAGAAUAAAACUAGACUAAUCAAGCAAAGAAAUUAGCCCAAACCUCUACUUUGCUUCCGACUGUGAUCUUCACAUUGCAUGAGAAACUGCAUAGUAGGCUAAAAACUUUAUAGAUAACCUUGCAUAUUUUUGUAACAAAAAAUAUUGUAAUUAUAAAAGUGCGGCAAAAUAUCAUACUAUUUUAUAUAAAAAAAUAUAUAAAGUAAAAUAUUAGCCUAAUUCUGUCUUAUAAAUAUUGUCUAAUAUAAAAUAUUGUUUAGCUAAUGUCGUAAAAUAUUGAAAAAAUUGUUGACAAAUUACUAAUGACUACUUUCCUAUUUUUCCACAGAGAAUAGCUGCAACCCAAUUUUUCUUUCUAAAUUUUUAAUUAUUUUUAUGAUCGGCUAAAAACUCCAAAUUCAUAUCUCUUUUUCUCUGGUCCACCUGGUGCAUGCAAGACCAAUACCCUGUCAGCGCUACUCUAGAGAGCUUUCACAUCAGAUCCGCUCCAAAAAAAACCUAUUAGUGCUUAUAUAAUAAGCCUACAAAAUAUUUUAAUUUUAUUUUAUUUAUUAUAAAUAAAUUUAAAUAUUUAUUCUAAUCUAAUAAGAAUUUAACUAUAAAUAUAACAAAAUCUUAUCAUAAACUACUUUACUUACCAAAUAAAUUCUGUUGUGUACCUUUAUUUCCCCGCCCUGAGGAGAUAAAACUCUUCUCCGCAAAUAAGUGUGCGAAGAAGGAAAAAAAUUUUGAAUAGAAAAAAAAGAAAUUAUUUUGGGUAUACUACUGAUUUUCCUUCUGUUGGAAGAUUGUUAAACUUCAUUUGGAAUUGCAGGAAGAUUGCGUUACGUGCGGUGAGAGAGUACGUUGAAAAAAUAUCUUAUUUGUUUUCGUACGUAAUAUUGCGUUCCGCGACGUAUGCAUACCUCUAUAUACUUUUAUCCAUAACUAUAUUUUAUCUAGUAACGUUAGAUGUAAUUCAAUAUCAAACUAAGUCUUAAUAUUUAAAUUCAGCUUUCUCUAAUAUCCCAUCUAAAUAACUAUAAAUCUUAUGCAUACAACAGAGUUCCCUUUGGCUUUCCAAGCCAAUCUAAUUUAUAUGUCACACUUUUUUAUAUCAAUCAAUUUACUAAAUGGAGCUCAUAUCAAGUGCAUUUUCCACACUAAAAUAGUGGGUGGUAGGUAAAGCAAGCACAUAUUUCAUGUUACUCCUGUUACCUAAAGAUGCAUUGCAUUUCUAGUUUUAUCUCUUUUUUUAUUUAUCAUGCUAAACAAUAUGAAGUAAUUAACUAUUUUUUCUCCAAAACGGAGAAUGACGCUUGUAAUAUAUAUACAUAUAUAUACACAACAUUUGCGAGAUCAAAGAUUUUUUUUUUUUUUGGGGAUCGUGGAGAUAGAAUUUCUUUUUGAUACUUUCGAGAUCUUUAUUGAUAUAUAGUUGACAACGUACGUUUGAGAGGACAGAUACAAAUUCUAACAAAAAAACUCAAGCACAUAUAUAUUUUACAGCAUGCAAUUUAACUACUUUGACUGUGUUUGCUAAUCCCUGUUAGGAUCUAGAUUCUUCUUCAAUUAAUCCCGACAAUAAGCUAAAAUUCAUCUGGCCAUUUACAAAACACAAAUAAUAUAAUUAAGUACAAUUUUAAAUCUAAAUCAUAAAACUCAUAUUGUAGCUAACUUGUGUUAAUAAGUGACACAACUAGUGACUAUACCAAGUUAUACACCAUAGAAUGAUAAACCCUAAGCAAAGAGAAAGUCACUUGAGGUGUGAUUGAACCUUUUUUUUUUUCCUUUUAUCAGCCUACGCGCACAUGUACGCCGACCGCGAUCACGAGGAUGGUCAUAAUUGCAAAGAAGAUGAUACCGUGGACCAAAAUUGAGAUCCCGCUUGUGUACAUGUUACCAAACUCGAUAACUCUUGCCCUCGCGGGAAUCUGAAAUAGGAGACCUGGCGAUAGGAGGAUGAAGAGGACCACCGCGAUGAUUACUGGGCCCCAGUCGGUCGACAUUGAAGCUCUUAUUCUCGCUCUUCUUCUUGAUCUCCAACGCGCACUCUAAAAGAAGCUACUUUUGUAGUUCUCUAACUAGAUGAGAAAAAUAAGUAAUAACAAAUGUUCAAUUGGAGUUAAAGGACUACAUGCAUACUUAGCAAGUAAGAAAGAUAGGAAGAUAUAAAGGAGCUUUAGUAUUGAGUUAACUAAGGGAGGGCACAUUCAUUAGACUACGUACAUAUCACUUUUGUCACUCUCCACUAUAAAACUUCCUUUUUCUUUCUUUUCUUUUUUUUUUUUUCCUUUUUUCUUUUCUUUUUUGUUGUUGUUGUGGAAGCUAGGGUUAGAAAAAAGCAAUUCCGAAACCCAUUAGUCCUUUGUGAACUUUUGUGGAAGGAAGAGUAUACUUGGAAAGUGGGAUUAUAGCUUGGCAUAUGCAUGGGGCCAAAAGAUUUUCAUGCAAUGUAAGUAAAGCAAGGGAGAUUCCUCACGUUUGAAACAUUAAAAUUGAUAGAGUUAUACCAAAGUUUAGGAUAAAUUACAGUUUUGGUCCUCAAAUUACUAUAGGGCGCGUGCCACUUUAAUCCAUAAACUUUAAUUCGUUACCAUUUCUAGCUUGAACUUUCUAAAUUAUUGUAAUCUAGUUUCAUAAUUCAAUAUUUUUAACUAAAUAAUAUUGGUGAUCGAACUUUUAAUUAAUAUAGAAGUAAUAUAAUUGCAUUAUCAAUUACCACAUUACUAUAUAUAUAUAUAUAUAUAUAUAUAUAUAUAUAUAUAUAUAUUCAUAUAUAUAUAGAAUUGAGCUCCUAUGCUUUUAAAAGUACCAAGUCAUUGGUACUUGUAAGUUUUCGGCUCUUGGAUUAAGGGAUGUACGGUUAGGAUGAUGUGGGUCCCCUAGGGUUGAGUGGGUGGUUAGUUGAAUAGUAUAAUCUAACGGGUAAAAAUGAUCAAAUGCGUAGAUCUAACGGUAAAAAAUUUACAAGCACCAAGUGUUUGGUGCUUUUACAAGUACCAUAGCCGGACUCUAUAUAUAUAUAUAUAUAUAUGAGUAGGGCUACUAUACUCUUAUGAGUAUAGAGCCUUUCGUACUCAUAAGUUGUUUUCGAUAAUGGAGCUUCCGAAUCGACGAUCCAUUUCGUUAAAUAUAAUCUAGAGUAUUUGAAACUUUUAGAAAAUAAAUUUCGUAAUUUUUCGAAAUCAAUCAAGCGGGCAUAAAAUGAAUGGUCAAAAUCGAAUGACGUCUUAAAAAUAGAUGAUCAGAUCCUUCAAUUUAAGAUUGGAGUUAUUGAUCUUUAUCUAGAUAGUGAAUAGAAUUUUCUAUCAAAAAUUUAACCUAUUCCAAUUCUUUUACACUGUUAAAGUAGCAAGUAUCCCAUACCAGCCGUUAAAAAUCGUCAAUUUUGUGACCUUUUGAUCAUAAAGUAAAUGAUGCCGGAAAAUUAUAAAAUUUGAUUUUUAGAAGUUUUAAAUGCUCUAGAUAAUGUUUAAUGGUAUCGAUCGUCGAUUCGGAAACUCUAUCAUCGUAAACAACUUAUGAGUACAAGGGCAAUCGUACUCAUAAGAGUAUAGUAGCCGGACUCUCUCUCUCUCUCUCUCUCUCUCUCUCUCUCUCUCUCUCUCUCUCUCUCUCUCUCUAUAUAUAUAUAUAUAUAUAUAUAUAUAGUGGAGUUAGAAUACUUUUAGAAGCACCACCUCUUUGAUGCUUCUAAGCUUUUAGCCAUUGGAUCUACUACUUGAUUAUUAAUAGCCUUUAGAUCAAACACUAUUCCACCGACCACCACCUAUCACCAUCAUUCCAUCCCUACAUUUCUUCAUCCAAAGGCUAAAAACUCAAAAACACCACCUAUUUGUGACGCCCCCAAUAGUCCCACAUCAGAUGGGAUACUGAUUCCGAUCAGUUUAUAUGAGGCCUACACGUUAGUAAUAAUAACUGGGCUUAAGCAUUUUGGGUCGGUGGUUGGGCUCAACGAGUUAUUAUUGCUAGCGGGUCAGGUCGUUACAAUUGAUAUCAGAGACGAAUACUAGCCGGAAGUGUGAGAACAAAGUGCUAUGCGGGACAAAGUGCUACACCAAUGGAUUUGGUGGGAGCCACCUCUUGAACCCGUAGGAGCCACCUCUAGAAUCUUACAUCGCCAGGUAAUGGUCCUGGUCUGUCUGUCACGCCCCGGGGUCCCAUUUCAGUUUAAAAUAAAGCGGAAAAGCGUCUGAAUUUUUUUUUUUUUUUUUUUUUUAAACCUGACCCCAGAGUAUGCCAGAUCCGCCACAAAUACAAGGAAUCCACUGUUCACACGGACAGAGUCUUCCCUGUAUUUACACGGCGUCGAUCAAAUACACAGUACAACCAGGAUACAACCACAACCAGAUGAAUAUAAAGAUAACUAUACAUUCAUACAUUCACCAUUCACAUCACAGUUUUACAUUAAAGGUUUAAACAGAAAUCCACAAAAAUCUUUUGAAAACUGUUUCCUACACAGAAACCUUUAUUAUUUUAAAAACGCUACCACGAGGGGUAGAAAACCUUUUAUUUUACAAAAUCCAGAAAUCCACAUUUUCAAAUGUAAAUAAAUACUGAACCACAUAAACCAACUAAACUAUAUAACAACAGAAAUACCAAGGAUAAUAACUAAAUCGAAAUAACCUGGGUCGGAAGCUCUAUCGACCGCUACACACGUACCUCACGUCUCGUCCCACUACUCAUCGCCCGCGAUACCUGAAAAAUGGUGGGGGAGGUGAGAACAUGUAAACAUGUCUCCCCUCCCAGUGGGUACCGCAAGCCGAA